rnacentral:lncRNA from 1 species
UCCAUUUUGCUGGACUUUCUUCUUAGUUUGGUUUUAAUAUAUGAUGCGUAAUAAAUUAAAACGAAACAAUGUAAUCACAAUGAUCAGAGGCUUUUUAAAAAAUAAAAAUAACUUUGUGUUUUCUUGUAUAAAAUUCAAAAUGUUAUUUAAAUAUAAAAAGUUAUGAUUCAAAUUACAUAUUAAUGCUUACGUGUUGUGAAAAUUUAAUAUGUUUAAAGACAAGAUAAUGUCAAAUGUAGACCGAGACAACAUUAGAAUAAACAAAAAUAAAAUGUAAAAAUCUAUCAAGACAAGCCAUUAGCUAAGUUGGUGAUGUUCUUGAAAUCCGCUAGAGGUGGUGGACCAUGUCAUUGUCCUUUGUACUUGUCAUCUUUUCUUUUUUUCCUUACUUUUCUCUUUUAGGCGAACAGAAAGUGUAAGGUAAUAGGAUGUUGAAGCAAAGCCAUAAUUUUUCACUUCAUUGGCCGACAAAUGAGAAUCAAAAUCCACUUACGAGGGCUACACUACAUCCACCACAAUCUGCUCAAGCCUGGAAACCAUCUCAUUGCAGCUUAGAAAGUUAUUAUAGCUGUCUCGAUAUGGGCAGCAGCAUAGGGAAUGCCCCGAUGGAUGACCACUCUCUAGUGUUCAGUGGACAAGAUCAGCUUAUGCUCGGUGAUAAAAUGUUGUACUUUGCAAGACCGUACGUGUUAGAGAACAAGACAAAUGAAGAUAUUGAGUCUUAAGGUCUAGCGUCCCUGUCAAUUUGUGCACAAUCUCUUUUGAACUCUUUACCAAGCCCCUUUUCUUAUUUUGAACUCAAGUUCUUCUAAAUCACAUCCAACAAGUUAGAUAAAUGUGUUCCAAUAUAUGACCUAUUCCGCAUGAGUCUUAACAUGAUACUAAAUAUUUCACGAAACAUUUGGCAAGAUACUUGAGAUCUUUAAUAAGGAUAGUGGUGUUGCACGUUCCUAUUCACUUAUAAUUACAAUUAGUUGUUGUAUUUGGUCACUCCCCCUUCCAUGUUAGUUGCAUGUUCAUAAUUUCUAUAGAUGCCGAAUCAAUUAUAUUUAAUUCCAUUUCUUUCUAACCGCCCCUUGCUCUACCAGGAUUUUCAAAAGAAAUCAUGUGACUCUUCGUAUGUACGUAGCGAGUAAUUUUUCAUGUGACCAGUAACUUUUUACAAGAUAUUCGACUUCCAAUAAGUACUCACCUAUUUACAUUAUUACUAAUUUUUUACAUAAAAGGCAACCUAUCUACAAUGAUUCUUAUCGUCCCAUGUAUUUUAAAAAAAGGACAAGUUUGAAAAAAAAAAAUUGAUGCUUUUUGCAAUGUAACAGUAAAUCUUAAUUUGUAAGACCAAAAAUUUACAUAAAGUUUGUGACCAUUCAUGGGACAGUAAGUUUUGCUUUAAAAAAGUAAUUACCACCGACCCUGUUUAAUAAAAGAAAAUAUAGGAAUUGACAAACAAUAUUUAGGCCGCCCACGGGUCUAGAAAGUGAAAAUUAAAGUUUUUUUUUUUCCUCAGCAGCUGUAAAUGAAAAUUUCUCCCAAGGGGGCUAAAGAACAAAUGAGCCCGGCUUUUUUCUGAUGAUGCCCAUUUUCCUCGUUUCAUCACAUGCUUUCCUUAGAAAACAGUGCACGUUCAUACUCUAAUAAUUUUUUCUUUUUUAAUUUAAAGAAUAUUAAUAUUCUUUAAAUAAUUUGAUAUUCGCUCUAUUUUCAUUUUCUUUUUUGGGGAUAGAGGGACUUGAACCCUCACGAUUUUUAAAGUCGACGGAUUUUCCUCUUACUCUAAAUUUCAUUGUUGUCAGUAUUGACCAAUCAGUUUCGCUACAGCACCCGCUGCUCUAGCUAAUUGUCCAAAGGGGAUCCUAUCAACUUGUUCCGACCUAGGAUAAAUAUUUCCCAACUGUUCUGGUCCAUUUACGGUUAUUGCUUUUGUGAACAUAGUAGCUAAAUAAUCCCAACGUGUCAUCCUCUAGAUAAUUCAAAUCGAAGCAAUUGGAUGUACAAAAAUAGGAAAUUAACUUCUCAUUUUUUUCUGACAGAUAAAAAAAAAAAGUAAAUAUAAGCAAGACUUUUACCCCAAGAUUGGUUGAUUAGUCAUCUUGGCUUGUUUUAGCUAUUUUUCUUUAUUUGUUUCAUAUUGUAAAUGUAUUAUCGCACCUUCCAGUACGGUUACCUUGUUACGACUUCAUACUUGAACAAAUAAAAAUUGGGAAAGUUUAAAUUGCGCAAUUGUUUACAGUUCCGGUUCACAUGCAUGCCCCAGUUGUUUUGUAGUAAACACCGGAGCAUUAAAAAUAGUAGAACUUGGAUCUUGAGAAGCCGGAAAAUUAUCAUAGCUGCGGGGGCAACUUAAAAUCUAACUUCACAUGGUAAAAAAAAAUUAUGUGAAUGAAUUUCCACUUUUGUCCGAAUAAAAAACUGAAGAAAAGAUUAUGAAGUAUAAAUUGUGAAUGAAGUAGUUUGAAACCUUUGUGUGCAAAAAAGAAAUUGCAGAUUGGUACAGAAGUACCAUGUGCGGUGGGAUAACAAAAAAGCAAGCUGAUGAGGAUGCUUUUCGAAUUUAGAUUUUAAUAUGCGGAAUGGUAGAAGGGCUCUUAAAGUUGGCUAAUCUUCUCUUGUGAAUUCCAUUUAAAAUUGGAAAUUGGUACAUCUUACAUCUUCUUAUGUGCCCAAUUUGAAGAAGGCUAAAUAUCCUAAAUAUGUAAAUAUUUACGCCAUAUAAGUCAUAUUUUUAAAUCCAAAUAAAAGACGUCGAUAGUUUUCCUAAACAUUCUUUGUUUCAUCAAUCUAUUCAUUUUCAGAAAAGCUCUCUGGUUAGUCGCUAUAAGAAAGAACGAACCUGGCUAAUAGUGGGCUGAUCGACGGCCGACCAACAAAAGCAAGGCCCCAACCGGCCAGAUCAAGAGAGGAGGACAGGAGACGGUGUCGGCAAGAUCAACAGAGAGAUGAGAUGAGACGGCAUGGGCAAAGACUCCAGGAAUGGAGAGAUCAAGGGCACUGCUGGGGAAAGUCAGAGAUACGAAGAGUCUGAGAGAGGCUAGCUAUGGGAGUGAGAACUAAAAGAGAGUAGCGAGGGUCUUUAAAUAGAAAAGAUUGAGCACUAUUUUGAACUGUUCCAAACCAGUUCUUCCAAAGGCUGGUUCCCAAGAUUUUUUCAUGAGAGCUAAUCGAAAGUUGUUGAGGUCAGUGAAUCUGAAACGUUGCAGCACGUGGCAGAGCGUGACGUGCAGCAGCGAACGGGGCUGAAAUUUCAGGGCCUAUCACUUUGGAGGAUGGUGAGUUUGAUGAUGGCAUCGAUUUUGUGAAAAAAACAGCAGAAGGGGGGCGUAAUGACACUCUAUAGGACGGGUUUGACCAAAUACGGACACCGGCAGAGCUGAUGUAAUAUUGCAACCACCGCUAUAGAUUAAAGACUUAUGCUUUGUUCGUUUUGCGGAAAAUAAUUUUCAGAGACAUAUUUUCCGAAAUUUCCGGUGUUCGGGUGGACGAAAAAUACACGGUCAAAGAAAACAUUUUCCGGUCAACGGAAAAUCCCCUCUUAAUCUUGGAAAAUGAUUUCCUGUUUUAAAAAGAGGAAAUCAUUUUCCCGGCCUCUCGCACGAGCUCUCUCGCACGAGCUCUCGCGCUCACUCUCGCGCUGCUUUUUUCCUUCCUCAUUUCUGCACUCUCUCACAAAACCUUAGGGUUUCUGAUCUCCUCCUCCUCGUUCGACACCGACGAUCGGUGAAGCAUCCCUCAUUCACAAAUGUCCUCCUCCCUUCAGUUCUCUCUCUCUCCCUCUCUCUCUCCCUGCUGCAAUGGCUUCGACGACGUCCUUCUCCGGGAUCAGCCUCUGCCCUCCCCGGCCGCUCCUGCCCACUUGCUCCAGCUGGGGCGCUGCCGCCACCGCCGCCGCGCUCCGCUUCCCCGGUGGCUCGAAGCCGCUCGGGAGGAUCCGGCUCAAGAGGGAGCACCGCGGCGGCGCCGGGAGGCUCGCGGGGAGCCCGCCGUCCAGGCUGCUCGCCGUGCGGUGCGAGGCUUCUGGUGGACGGGUGAUUGCCCCCGAUUCAUUUUCUUGUUAUUUUUUUUUUAGCGCUCCACGUGCUUGCUCGUGUGUUCGUUCGUUGCUCUGUUUUGGGGAUUUGGUUAUGCUUAUUUGGGGUGAUGCGAUGAGGUUGCGUGCGUCCAGGCUUGGUGCUAGUAGUGUUCUGUGUUCGAGUGCGUUGGAUUUUUCUUGCCAAGUUGUCAUUUUUUUCGAUAAUCCUGAAUUGUGCAAAUAUGUUGAUUGAUUGCUAGUGUGGUUGCCGUACUGCUAAAUUAGGCUGUGCAUAGACGAAGAGUGAGCUGCUAAAUGGAUGAAUGUGUAUAUGCAGCUUCUUUGGGGGUGGUGUUUGUAAUAUGUAUAAUCAGAUUUGUCCACUUGAACCCAAUAAAUUAUUGAUUUUGUAGCUUUGUCAAAUGACAGAUCACACAGCAAGAAUUUACAGAGAUGGCCUGGCAAGGGAUUGUUUCCUCUCCAGAUAUUGCGAAGGAGAAUAAACAUCAAAUAGUGGAGACUGAGCACUUGAUGAAGGCUUUGUUGGAGCAAAAUAAUGGGCUUGCCCGGCGGAUCUUCUCCAAGGCUGCAGUUGACAAUACCCGUCUUCUGGAGGCUACUGAUAAGUUCAUCCAACGGCAACCAAAGGUAUCUCUACUGAAUGACAAUGUCUUAAUGAGCAUCUCUUUUCAAUCAAUGGGUUAUUACAGCUAGAUGUUGCUAUUUUCUUUUACGAAUCGAUUAAACAUUUUCAGCAUGGGCAUUGCCUCUUGAGACCGAGUUCUUAAUUGAAGAAUAGAGGAUUUAACAUCACUUGAUGUUCUCAGCCAUUUAAAGGAUUCAAGCCCCACAAACGAUGUUCAAGAGAAUUACCUAAGUGCUGAAAUCUUAAAAAAUGUUUUCAGGUAGAAAAUAUUUUCCUUACCGAACACUGGAAAACAUUUUCCGAAAUAUUUUCAAGUUUUAGCCAAACACCGGAAAAUGACUUCAUGGAAAAUGUUUUCCGGAAAUGGCCCAUUUUUCGUGAAACGAACGGACCCUUAAUGGCGCUUCAUCAAUUUAUAAUCUCUCUAGUACCAUGAUAAGAAUAACAUGAAGAGAGAAAAUGGGGGAACAACUGUAUAUUUUUACGUAUUGAUAAACAAUACAUGAGACUUUAUUAGAUAACUAUUUAAAGUAAUAAGAUAAAUAUAAUGCCACAUAUAAUUAAUCAAGGAUAUACAUUAUUGAGGGAGAUAUAUGUAUAAUCCUGAAAAAUAUGCAAAAUUAAGUAAAUAUCCAAAUAUCAUUAACAAUUAGAAUGGGGGUUUUACAUACUAUAUACUAAAAAACAAAUGUUAAUUUGUUAAGGGCGGUGCUAUUUCCACCCCCUAAAUAACUUUAUCCAACCCCAUUUAUACUAAAAAGACAACAUUGUUCUCAAUCUUUCAGUUGCAGUUUAUAUUGAUGGCCCCUUUCCUUUUCUAUUUAGGAUAAUUACGAUAAUUAAACAUUUGAAUGUUUUGUUUUGCUUUUUAGUGUAUUAAAGCAAAGUGCAUUAUCAAAUAUUCUUAUAACGUUUUAUAUACUCCUUGUCAAAUUAUCUCGCUAAUAGUAAAGACAUUUUUUGAUAUAGUACAAAAUUGGCUGGUGGGUAAGUUUCCUUUCGUUGGGACACAACAGCAAAUGUAUAUCUUUGCAUUGUUACUUAAAAGCACGAUUUUUCAUAUGUAGGUGUUUGGCGCUUGUUAGUCGCACAAUUUUUAAUAAUAUAUACAUAUUGAUUGAUACGUAAUUUCGUUUAUAAUUUUUUUAUAAUUUGUGUUGUUGUAGAAAAAUAAAAAAAAAUGUAUAUUUAUAUUGAUCACAUGCCCUGACUUUUCACAUGUUAUUACCGUGUAGCAUCCAAAAGUAAAAGCAAAAACGAUAUGCAUAUAUUAACUAUUCAAAUAAAUAAUAGAGUAAACCGAAAAAGUUGCAAACAUAUCUUUCAGGUGGACCCGAGGCCCGAGAUCACGAUUUGGGGUGAAGAUUCCGUUGGUAUGUGGUGAAUUUGGAGUGGACAAUUGCGUAUAAAGACAGACUGGAUGAGUGCAUAGUGGGGCCCGCAUGUAUGGAGUCAUAUUGGUACGCGGCCGACAUAGCCAUAAAGCAACUUAACUCUCCACCAUGGUCACCUAUUAACAUCACUUGGUUGUUAUUAUUAUUUUUUUUUAAAUUUCUUUUUGCGUUUUGCGCCACUUCUGUCUCCUUCUCUCCUAUGUAUUUUAAAGAUGGAGACAACUCUAGAUAUUAACCACUGGGAUUCGCCCUAGUGGCCACCCUUCCAACAUGGAAGGGGGAGGUGAGGGGUUCAAAUUCCUACCUUCUCAGGGAGGAAUGGGGUGGGGACGCGUAAGUUUCAGGAGUGAGUUUCGACUCCCACGCCCUGCAAGAGGCAGGGCAAAAGUCUGAGAUGAGUGAGUUUCGACUCCCACGCCCUGCAAGAGGCAGGGCAAAAGUCUAAGAGUGAGUGUAGAGUAGGAAUAGAGUAUGACUGACAAAAAAAAAAAAUCUAGAUAUUAAAGGCCAAAUCACCUCAAUUGUCACUCAUUAAUGGCCCACCACCUCAUUUACAUAAAACUUAAUAUAAGUACCUACCUCAUUUAUUGUGAAAGAACUCCUUAAAGAUAAUAUAAGUGCACAAUAAUAAUAGAUAAUAAAUAAUAUUUGAAUGACAAAUACCAAUUGCAAAACCUAUGUCUAUAUGUAUAUAUCGAAAAAAUAUGUAAAGUAACAUGUCUGAUUAAUGUUAAGGAAAGAAAGAAUGAAUGAAGUUUUGCAAUGAUAUAGCUCAACCAUUGAGCUCUAUUCUAUCUUACUUUCUUAUUAUAUAUAUUAGCUUAGCAAUGGUCUCUUCAGCAAUGCUCCCGAGGACAACUUUCGCCAUUUUUGUUCUCUCUCUGGAUUAGAAGAUGAUUAGUCCAGUGGUUCUAAGUCCAUAGACUUCUUAGGACAUGUACAGCAAGUCUGUGUUGAAAAUAGCAUUUCUCAUCGGCCACGCAUAAUAGAAGGUGAAGCUUAAGUCCAUAAUGCUUCUAGGACCCACCGACUUUGAUAUUUAUUUCACAGGUUGGUUUUAUCUGGUAGUUUCCGAGGCCCGGAAGCAAGGGAGAGUAGGACCAAGUUGUGAAAGCAAAUUGCCUCUCCAAGGACAAACACUUCAUUUUUUUUCCCCAAGGUUUCGUUCUAUAUAUUAAUUUUUUUAAAUGAUGGAGGUCAUUGUUUAAUUUAUUGGGAUGGAUUUUGAGGUCUGACAAAGUUGGUAACAAAAAAAAACCUAGGGCAUAUUAGUUUGCUGUGAUCCAACACCGUAAAAUGUGUGAUGUGAUUAAUUAGUAACUUAUACAUGUAGAUAUAUUGAUACAUAUGAUAUACAUGUUUGGACAGAGAUUAUUUCCAUUAAAAUAGAAAGUUUUAUAUGCAUGGAUAACACCAGAUUUGUUAACAUUCCAUUGCCAGCACUACACCUCUCAAUUCAAAACUCUCCUUCAUAUCUUCACUUGACAUUAUUGGUAUUAUUUCACUUAAACCUUACUGUUUAAGGAAGUUCCCUCUCCUUGCCAAUCUUUCAAAACUAUUUGCUUCCUAUGAAUAAAAUGCUUCUAGAUUAUUUCUUUCUUCCUUUAUUUUUUUUCAUAUUCUCUAAAUAAAUGAAUAAAACUGCUUUAAAGAUCUCUCUUCCAUUACUAGACAAUAUGAAAACUUGCACAUUUAUGUAAUGUAAAAUGAUAUAUUUAAACAUUUUAUGCAUGUCACUCUUUUUUUAUAAAUUUCAAAAGGAUUCACAUGUAGGGCAAAACAACAUACACACGAUUUUUUCUAGCAUAUACAAUAUGUACAAAAUCUUUUACUAUCUCAGUAUCCUAUUACAAUUAUAUCAGUUAGUUUAGAAUACUCUUUAGUUCAAAUUUAUAGCUUUUUCUUUAACAAUUACUAUAAGAUAAGUCAUCUUUCUUAUCUUUUGAGUCUGGCGCUUAUUUCAAUCCCCCUAAUAUAUUAUUCUUCCAUUCAAUGUACACAAUCAAAUCUUUGCCAAGUUUCCUUGUGGAUGUUUUCUAAUAGUGCUUGCAAAACUGUAAGAAUUCCUAGUUGGCCGUUAAUGACAAGUUAGUGACAUCGGACCAAGUAGACCUUGUGCGACAAUAAAAUUUGUUGAAGUGGUAUGGAUUAUUGUGACAUGACUAGAAUGUGCAAAGCAUCUUUUAACAUCCUAGAAAAAUUUGGAGUGUUAAAAAAAUUUAUGCCGCUUUCUUGCUUGAAUACUCUAAUACCUGCUUGAACUAUGCAAGAUACCCUUAACAUACUUGUGGAGCAUCUUUUGUAGUGUAGACACAUUCAUCUCUGUGUAUGCACCUAAACUAUGUGCGAACAACCAGUAGCCAUUAUCAUUCAUGGAGGAUGUGAUAGUAGUAACUCUACAUAACCUUGUGCAGCAAUGAAAUUUGUAACUCUUCCAAAAAGAACGUAACUUUCGUCUUCCCUUCCCAAGAAUAUGUUUCCCGACAAUCAUUUCGACAAGCAUUUCCCUUUUCUUUUCAUUACGGAAACAAGAAAUAUUGUUUGUCCACUGGUGCUUGUUUGGUAAUAUUCAAAGAAUUUCUUCAAUUUUUUUUGUCUCGAAAGUGAAGCAAAAGACAAAAAGAGGCAAUGGCAAAGAAACUCCAAUAAAUUCCAAGAAGACCACAACUUUUGCAGGACACAAAUUGAAGUUUCUUGCUUCGCUUUUCGCAUCCCUCCUCAUGAAUCCCCAUGAGAACGUCUCUUUUUCCAUCGCUAGUAGAACUUCCAUGCAUUAUGUUUGGAUUAAUCUCUGUUGUUUUUUCCUUUUUCAAAUUUGUCUCAAUUCGAGGCAAUUUUUAAAAAAUUGCCACAUCGUAAUGAUUUUAUUGACACAAUUUGUUUACCCUGUGAAUUGGGUGAUGUGGAGAGAGUUUGUAUUGGUUUAGAUAAUCUUAGCAUCUAAUGUCUUUAUUGAUGUGGCAACAUCUCAAGAUGCCAUAUUGAACACUUAUAUGGACAUUUAACAACUAUUUAACGGUGUUGGCAUCAUGUCAACAUUUUUCGUUUGGAACAUUAACGAAGGCCUCACAUUGACCCUCAUGAAAAAUUCAGAUAAUUGAUUGAACGAGAAAACUUUAGGUACCUAAUUGUGAAAGGGCUAAUAAUACAAGUACUUGUAAUGUCAUUGUUCCAAAGAGUUUAUCACAGAAUCAUUGGUCUAGGCACAAAUCUCAAACAUACUUUUGUUUACAGAAUAUUUGCUCCACAACUCAUCCUCUCGAUUCAUUUCUUGGUUUCCCUUUAAUAAUUUUCUUUUGUAAGAUUAUUCAUUCUUUUGUGUGAAAGAAAACAGGAGAUAGUUUUGUUAAUUUCACGCGCCAAAAGAUUUCAAUGGCUAAAUGUCAAGCACAUUGGAAGACUACAAAAUUUCUCAAUGUCGAUUUCCCUUAGAUUUUUUCCUAAUCAUUCGAUCAUAAAAAUUCAAGCUUUACACUUGAAAAUUUUUAGUGGAUUAUCAAACAUUUGAUUGAAAUUAAUUUUUUUUAGUACUUGAUUUUAGUUUAGUUGGAUAUCAUAUUAAUAGUAUUAUCAUCACAUGUAACUGUACGGGCACACUUAACUUAAAACCUUACUAUGACUUCUUUACCAAUUACAUCUAAUUUGCCUAAAUAAUAUUUUUUGUAGAUAAUUUGUUCCAACUUUUCGAGAGAUCAAUUGAUAUCAUCUGGAAUCCCCGGUUUGACCUGCAAGAGACAAAAUUGAUACCACAAAGAAUAUAUUGCAGCCCAAUAUAAGCAGUUAACGACUACUUAAUAGCAUUGAUGUCAUAUAAACAUUUUUCGUUCACGAUUCAAUGGAGGUCUCGCAUUGACCCAUAUCCGAAAUGUCGAGAUAAUUGAUUGAAUGAAAAAAACUCUAGAUACUUGAUUGCCAGUUCAUAGGUAAGAAAUUUCAUGCACCUCACGAUAUGGUUUUAUUUCAGUCAAUUUGAAUGGACGUCGCUAUUAAUUGACCAAAGCGAGGGAUGGGUGCGUGCCCGAGGAUCGAGGCGUGACAGUGAUGGCAGGAAAGAAACUAAUAUAUUCUAAAAAGACCAAGACUGUUAACGUCAUUUGAUUGUGCACGUCUUUUGAUGGUGGGAAAGAAACUUUAAUAGAUUCCAAAAAGACCAAGACUUUUGCAUGUUUGUAUGUUAUGUUGGGAUUGUCGGAUUCCCAAAAACCGGAUUCGACACUAAAUCGAACCCCUAAAACGAAUGCGGAAGACGAAGCCUGGGAAAAUCACAUAUCACCGAUCCUAAAGCACACCACGGAUUCGAGCGUACAUUGUUAACCACAGAUUAAACACCAAUGCUGAAGAUUGAGGAAGAGAAACCGAUCAUGUUCGAUUCGAUGACGUCAAUUGGCCUUGAAGGGAAGACGGUGUCGCAUUUUGCGCACUUUUGCUUUUGGAGGGAGAGAGGGAGAAGAACGUACGCUCUUUUUGCCAAAAGGUACGUUCAUCUCUCUCUGUCCUCCCUUUUAUAUGUCCCCUCAAAAAUAUAAAACAUACCUCUUCAUCGUAUCCCUUCAUCCAUGGGCCCUAAUUUUGUGGGCCGGGCUUUUAGGCCCAACAUGGGCGGACGGGCCAACUUAGGCCCAUCACCUAAAACCAUCAUCUCCCACUCGCACAUGGUGGGCUGAACAGAAUUCUCUUUUACCUCUCUUCAACAUUCAUACCGGUGAAUAAUCCGUGCGACCAGCAUACUUUAAGAGCUCGUUGCCAUACAUCUGUUAGGAAUAUAUAGCAGCUCAUAAUGGGCAUCACACUCUAAGUAGAUUUAGUAUGCAGUACCCUAGAUCGAUCGAUCACAUUUAUAUCUCUCUUGAUCUCUUUUAAACAAUGAUAUAUAUAUAUAUUGUAUUCACAAUUAUAAUUAUCCCAAAGACAGUCAUAAUUGGUUAACCAGUGAAUACAAAACUACAAUGUGAUUCUCCAAAUUCGAUCUUCCUCUUUCAUUCAAACUCUCAAUUUCAGUUCAACUUGCUUUUCUAGAAAUGUCCCAUUAGAUCGAAUCAACUCAUGACCAUUGGCAACAUCCUAAGAUAGCAAACACUAAAUAGAAAUCUUGAGAAUAAAUAAGAGUCAUAAGAGGACUAAAAAAUUGAGGAACUCUUUUCCUCAAGAGUCUCACACGACAUAAAAGUUGAGAUCAAAUUUUUGCCACUCUUAUUGGUCGUCUCAUGCAUACGUAGUAUGAAAUACGUAUUACGGUAAUAACUCCUUUCCCAUGGAGCGUAUGUCUACACCUUUAAUACCGUACAGAUGAUAGUUCAGACAUACUCAAUGUCUAACUUGAGUUCACGUAUCUACUCAUUCACAAAAUUCAUUAGAACUCACAUCUGGCAUCAUAGACAGAUAAAAUAAAAUAUGUGGGGUAUUUUACUUUCGGACAUAGUAAGUAUUAUGUCCCCAUCUUAACACUCAGUUAAGGCAACGUACGUAUUUUAAGCUUUAGCUCUCGAUUAUCACCUAGAUAAUAAGCUUAAAAACAGUCUCAUCUCUAUUUAUCACACAAUAAAUAGAGGCGAUUACCCGUGUGAGUGGGCUAAUCUUAUAUCUGUCCGACAUACUUUCUCAACUUAAAGUAAUGCACUAAGCAUUAAGAUGCAUAAAGAUCAAACAAAGAUUCAUAGGCAUUAAUGAUGAAAAAACACAAAUUCAUCAAAUGUGAACACUUCAGGGAAAUUACAAUCUAGUACAUCAGACUCUACGCAAUCCCAGAGAUUUCAUAUGGCCACAAAACACAUCUCUAUGUAUUGGUUUUGUCAUAGGAUCUGCUACCAUUCUAUGCGUAAUAUGUACUGUAAGUUCAUAUCUUUUCGCGCAAUCAAAUUUUUUUUUGAUAAAAUUAUACUAGGUAUCUAUAUGUUUGGUCUUACCAUGAUAUUUUGGAUCUUUGGUGUACGCUAUUGUUGCUUGGCUAUCACAAUUAACCAAACAAUGAAUCUGCAGCACUUCCAAUAACACCUAAAUGAUCCAAUAAUCUCUUAAGCCAAACAUCUUCUUAUAUUGCUGCUGAUAAUACCACGAACUCAGUUUCCAUUGUGGACAAGGCUAUACACUUUUGUUUCUUACUGCUCCAACAUAUGGUGCUAUUAUUCGAUAAGAAAACAAACCCAGAGGUAGAUUUUCUUUCAUCUGAAUCUCCUCCACAAUCAGCAUCAGAAUAGCCUUAGAGUCGCAGAUCCUUUCCCUAAUAACUCAGCGUAUAAUCAGCAGUCCCCUUUAAAUACCUCAGUAUUAUCUUAACGGCCUUCCAAUGUGCUGGACCUGGAUUGGAUUAGUAUCUACCCACCAUUCCAACUGCAAAAACAUAUGUCAGGUCUUGUACACAUCAUAUUGUACAUCAAGCUCCCAACAGCACUAGCAUAAGGAACAUAUUUCGUUUGUUCCUUCUCUUGUGGAGUCCUUUGACACAAUCUGUGGCUCAAUCUUUCACGUUUUGCAAUAGGAGUGUCUAUGAGUUUACAAUCCCAUAUCAUUCAUCUCAAAGUUGGAAGACAACCAACUUUUGACAGUAUUGACAAGCUCCAUAUUGCUUCCGGCAAUUAGUAUAUCAUCAACAUAUAAUGAUAUGAUCACAAAUUGAUCAUUGGAUCUUUUGAUAUAUAUAUACAAUGAUCCUCAUCUAUCAUUGUAAAAUCAUAUGUCAUUAUGGCAUUAUGAAAUCGUAUAUACCAUUGUCUUGACGACUGCUUAAGGCCAUAUAUCGACCUCAAAAGUCGACAUACCUUUUCUUCUUGGCCUUUCACUAUGAAACCAGCAGGUUGUUCCAUAUAUAUUCCUUCCUCUAAUUCUCCAUUGAGGAAAGCAGUCUUUACAUCCAUUUGAUGUAACUUAAGAUCCAUACUAACCACUAUUGCCAGAAUUAUGCGAAUAGAGGUAAAUCUCACUACAGGAGAAAAUGUUUCUUCAUAAUCAAUUCCUUCCUGUUGAUUAUACACAUUCGCCAUAAGGCGAGCCUUAUGCCUUUAUAUCAAGCCAUCAGCUUUACGCUUUAUUUUGAGAACCCACUUGUUCCCAAUAGCUUUGCGUCCUUUUGGAAGAUCAACCAGUUCCAAACUUGGUUUGACUUCAUUGACUCCAUCUCCUCUUUCAUUGCAUAAAUCCAUUUUUCCUUACUAGGGCAAUUCAGAGCCUCAUUAAUAUUUCUUGGCUCAUCCUCAUCUUGCGGAGCAAUCAUAAAAGUUUCCCCUUCAAUGUCAAAACGUCGACGGUGAAUACUUUGGUGACUUGUUCGCCGUAUGGGAGAUUGUACACUUUGUACAUCAUUCCCUAUUAUGCUCCCACUAGGAUUAGAUAAUGAUAACGUUGUCUCAUCAUGUGGUUGCAAUUGAGAAUGAGUUGAAUUCAAUUCAUCACUUCUCAUAUUACUCCCACUUGGACGAACUCCACUAAUAUCAUUAUCUUAAUCCAAUGUUUCAAAUAGGGGUAAUCUUCCCUUAUUUCGCCCUUCUUAGGAAAUUCAUCCUCUAAGAAUGUGACAUCACGUGAUUAAAAUUCAGUUAUACUCCCACUUUCAUGCUCACCUAUGAACACAUACCCUUUCGAGUGUUCGGAGUAUCUCAUUAAAAUACUCUUAUUUCCUUUAGGACCCAAUUUCCCAAACUUGUGAGAGGACUAAUGAGUAUAGGCAGCACAAACCCAUGGCUUAAGAAAACUUAAGUCCGGUUUUCUACCUGUCCAUAACUCAUAUGGAGUGGAAGUAACUGAUUUGGAAGGCACCCGAUUAAGUAUAUAGGCAGCAGUUAACAACGCAUCACUCCAAAAAGUAAUAGGUAAGUUAGCAUGCGCCAUCAUGGACCUAACCAUUUCCAGUAGGGUUUUGUUUCUUCUCUCUGCAACACCAUUUGUUGAGGAGUAUAUGGAAUAGACAAUUGUCUUUCUAUUCCUUUUUCACCAUAUAAUUUUCUGAACUCAUCAGAUAAAUAUUCUCGACCUCGAUCGAAUCUCAAUGCUUAUAUUUUCUUGUCUAAUUGAUUUUCGUCCAAGUUCAUAAACCUUUUGAAACAACUUAAUACUUCAGAUUUAUGAAAAAUCAAAUAGACAUAUCCGAAUCGAGUAUAAUCAUCUAUAAAAGUGAUGAAAUAAACAGUCACAUGCUUUCCUUUCACAUUCAUUGCACCACAGACGUCAGAAUGGAUUAAAUGCAGAGGAAAUUCAGCUCUUUUACCUUUUCCAAAUAGUUUCCUUGCCGUUUUCCCUACUAGGCAAUGCUCAUAUAUGGGCAAAUCGACUUUUUCAAUGUUGCCCAACAAGCCCUCUUUGGCCAGUCUAUUCAUACGUUGUUGGCCAAUAUGACCAAGUCUAACAUGCCACACAUUCACAUCACUAUCAAAUGAAUUAGGAGAUGUGAGAAGGGAAUAACAAACAUUUGCAUUAACAUAGUCAAUAUCUAAUACUAUGAAACCAUCCAGAAAAUAACUACAAGUAUAGUAGUUUGUAUCCAAAUACAAAUCUACACCUCUAUUAUGGAAGUUCACACUAAAAACAAGCUUAACCAACACAAAAAAAAAAGACACUUAAAUUUCGACGAAUCUCCGAAGCAUAUAGAACAUCAUGUAGGAACAAGUUGCGUCCACCACGCAUGUUCAAUUGGCAGGUGCCAAUCCCUUUAACUUCAGCUCUGGAGUUGUUUCCCACAUAGAUCCAGUUAGUUCCAGUUGGUAUUCGUCGGAAUUCCACGAAGGAUCCUCUAUCCUUCGCUACAUGGUCUGUCACUCUUGAAUCUACAGUCCACAAAGGAUUGGAUUCAGCCAAUAAUGUAGAACUUGACACAUAAGCAAAGUUCUCAAAUGUACAAGAGGUGUUUACCUUAUUUGGCUCACGACAGUCGCGAGCAUAGUGACAUUUCUUGUCACAAUUGUAACACCUUACCCUUAACAUUUUCUUCACUUGAUGACGUUUUCCUCUCUUGUGUUGGUUAACUCUUGAUCUCUUGCAAUAAGGACUUGAUCCUUUGCAUUCCCACAUAUUGAACGAAUCAAUACGCUUGCGCUUAGAGCUCAAAGCUCUUUCUGAGCUAGAACCAGCAUUGCAAAUAUCUAUUUUCGGCUCACAUGCCGUUAAUCGGUCCUCUACCAGCUCAAGGUGGCGCACAGCAUCCUGAAGAUCUUCCAUAACAUGGUCAAGAGCUUCUAGUGUUUCUUGCUUUUCCAGCACAUAUUGAAUCUCCAUAUUCAAUAUUUCACAAUUGUUGCCGUUCAUAUCAACAAUUACGUUCUUAGUGCUGAAACCAUCGAUCUGAACACAUCAGACAUAUAUGCACGAAUAAUUAAUGCCUAUCAUUUAUGCAUCCACUUUGCACAGACUCAUCAUAUCAAUGAAUAAUUUCAAGUAAGGUUUCAGAAUCAAAAUGUCACUACGUUUCCAAUCAUCCUCCAAAAAUCCUAACUUAAAACUAUUAUUAAUAUAAUUGUCUUUUGCAAAAUAAAUUCUAUGAAGUUACAAAAACUUCUAUGAACUACCCACAACAGUCAACAAUAACAGAAAGCAAAUAAUAUCUAACAUCCAAUAGAAUAAUAAUGCUUUCACAUAAUACAACAAUCAAUUACACUAAGUAAUAUACUCAAAGAAGAAAUAUCAACAUAGAAAGAGAUAUUCACACUUAAAAAACAUCUCAAAAUAAUCUAAGAAAUAAAUAAGGAAUGUCCCUUCUAAUCUAUCAGUCAAAAUAUCUAAGAAAUUUGUAGGCACAUUUGCCAACCAUGGAAAAACUUUUGGAGAGCUCUCAUGUCGCCUCCAAGGCGCAUUCACUCUGCGCCAUGUGGCGCUCAAUCUAAGGGUUGAAGUUUUGGUUAACUCAACCCUAUAGUACUCUCUAACAAAAGCUACCAUUAGCCUCCUAUAACCCGGGACCACGUUGACCUCCCAUAGCCGAUCUAACACUGCUUGCCAUUCAGGUGGAAGAGUGUUCAUCAAAGCCGGCACCUUCUCAAAAUUCGGCAUAAGAUAACCAUUCCAAAUGAUUUCCUAUAUCAUCUGAUUGACUCUAUAACCUGGAUCGGACGAACCCGUCGGGCCGGUCGGAUCGGGUCGGACGAACCGACCGGCAAGUGCCGCGCGCGUGCGCGGGCUGACGUCACGCAGACGUUAGCCGGCACGUGCGCGGCACGCGCCAAGCUUCCGCGCAUGUCGGGUCGCCGGUCGGGUCGCCGGCCGGUGACCGCCCGGCCAACGAUCGUCGGCGAUGACGUCAUCGAUGACGUCAUCCCAGCGGUUACCGACCGUUGGGUGACGUCACGGUGACGUCAGCACGCGUCGGUUUGCCGACCGGCGCGUGCCGGUUCACUGGCCGGCGGCGUCGCGCACGUGCCAGUCCGUCACCGGCGCGUGUGGCGCACGCGCUGGCCGAGCCAGCGUUUCAGGCGCGUGGCGCCCACGCGCAGCGGCUUCUGGCCGCGUGUGUGGGCGCGUGCGGCGUCGCCCGGCGGUGGUCGAUAUGUCGACGGACUCGUUUCGACGAGCCCUUUCACCCAAUGCCUUCAGAAAUCGAUUUCGACUUAUAGAAACUCGAAAAAAUGGACGACCAGUGCUCGAGUGUCGGGAUUUUGCGCCCCGAUCCGUGUCGGCCGAAUAUUUUCGCGAAAAAUCAAUCAUAAAACAUCAAAGGGGUCGGGAAAACAUGAACUAGAGCUCUGAUACCAAUGUUGGGAUUGUCGGAUUCCCAAAAACCGGAUUCGACACUAAAUCGAACCCCUAAAACGAAUGCGGAAGACGAAGCCCGGGAAAAUCACGUAUCACCGAUCCUAAAACAUACCUCUUCAUCGUAUCCCUCCAUGCAUGGGCCCUAAUUUUUUGGGCCGGGCUUUUAGGCCCAACAUGGGCAGACGGGCCAACUUAGGCCCAUCACCUAAAACCAUCAUGUUAGUGGGAAAGAAACUUCAAUAGAUGCCAAGAAGACGAAGACUUUGUAUGUCUUUCUUGCCAUUACCAAUAGAAUUUUUAGGCGCUACAUAUCUUGCUUAAAAUUAACAAUACCAUAAUUUUCCUCCAAUUCUUUUCAUUUUGGGAUUUUUUCAUUCAUUAAUCUCUAUUGUAUCUUUUCAAAUUUGAGUUCAACAAAUGAAAAGAAAAAAGCAAAGAGAAAAACUGACAAGAAGAAAGAGCAAAAAAGUUUAAAAAAAAAAAAAAGGAAAUAAAGAAGGAAAAGGGCAAGAUAGAACACCAUUGAAGCACGGCCACAGCGUGUUGUUGCCGUUAGCACUAUCACUUUGGUGACUAUUUCCAACUUCGCUACCUUAUAAGUUACAAUGACCUUCGUAGACAAUAUUUUUCUUGAGAUGUUUUUCUUAGAGUGGGUCAGAAGUUGAGGAUAAUGACAUCAAAACUAUCAAAACUUUCGCUUAUUUUACAAUAGAGUACCUAAACUUUUCUUUUUUCAAUCAAGUAUCUCACUUUUUCAAAUUUGAUACAAUUUGAGGCAUUCACUAAAUGAAUCAUCAUGUCAUAUGAUUUUGGUUACAUGAUUCGCUCACCUUGCAUAUUGAGUAAUGUGGAAAGAAAAAAUAUUGACUUAGAUAAUCGUAGUGUCUUAUAUAUCCCGGCCGAUGUGGCAUCAAAUCAAGAUAUUGUAGAAAACACUAAUGGGCAAUUAACGACUAUUUAACAACAUUAGUAUGAUAUCAACAUUUUUUGUUAGUGAUUUAAUAGAGGACUUAACCUAUAUUUGGAAAAUUGAGGUAAUUGACUGAAUGAACUAAAAUUUUGGUAUGAUUAAAAAAAGGGUAAUAAUUUGGAUACAUGUGCGUCAUUAUCCAAUAAUUUAUCUUUUUUUUACGUGAUAUUCAUGUGAAAGAGAAUAUUAAAUAGUUUUGUCAAUUUCAAGCCAUUGCAAAAUGAUUUUAGUGGCUAUAUGUCAAGCCCAUUUGGAGACUAUAACGUUCUCAAUGUUGAUUUCCUUUAUAUUUUCUGCAAUCAUUCGAUCAUAAACCAUUCCUGCCCCUUUUUCUUGGCCAAUUCCACUGCUUUCCCUUUCAUCUAUUCACCCAAAACUCAAAAAGUAUGUGUAGUUUGGCCUAAAUCAGUUUGAACCAAUUUGAAAAUGUACCGAUUUUCAAAAUUGGAUUUGCCUAGUUUUAGAAUCUCACGGGUAUAGAACUGGGCUUUUGGCUACUGUUGCACAUGGAGGGACUCAAGCACUCAAUUCCACGGAUCACCGGCAUUUUACUUUACCACCAUGACCGAACGAUUCAUGUGUUCAUGGGCAAUUGACAGCAUUACAUAUCUAUAAUCGUUUGCUUCGGACACAAUCACCGAUUCACUUCUAGUCCAAUCGUUAGGACCGCAAACUGGCAACCUAACUGGUUCUCCGACUGGCCUAAGUUUGAAAACAUUGGUGCCAAGUUCCUAUCCCUUCUUAAAACAAGUAGAUAAUGACCAUUUUAUAUGAAUUGAGUUGUAAUUGACGCAAUACUUUUGCCACAUGAUGAAAGAUGAUAGCUAAGUGAUUAUAACUAAUAAACGUUGAUGCUCCUCUUUCUCCUUGAUUAUAUUAGACUUGGAAAUUCUUUGUAUUGCUCCAAAUGAGGUUGAUGCUCAACUUCCAUCGUACAUUACUCCUGAUGUUGCUCUAGUUGGAGCUAUGACUAAUGCUUGACCUUUCCCUUAAAAAUUUCGUAUUCAACAGUAAGUCUUUGCUUUGGCAUCGUACAGACUUCAAUUUAAGAUGCUAAUAAAUCUUAGUCAAGAGGGAAAAAAAUUUAACAUCUACCACUCUUAGGAACCUUAUAUGCUAUUAGGAACUUUGUCGAGCACGGCAUGCUAUCGAGAGGUCGUAGUACUUUGUUAGGCUUAAGAAGAGAUCUAAUCUCCCCAAUCAAAAGAAAUGAAAUCUAUCCACCAUUGGAUUUUGUUAUAAAGCAAAAAACCAGAAAAUGAUGCAGUGCAAUAUAUUUAGCUACAUAGUAGCAGUUUGAUUUGUCACAUGCAGUUUUUGGAUAUCAUGGUUUUUAUGAGCAUGAGAAGUAAACUAGUCACAACAUUUGGAAGCAAAUUACUCAGUAUCAUCUCCAGUGAGUUUGCUAAGAAUUUUCUUUUGAUAAGCAAAAGAAAUUUAUUGCACAAUGAUGUCAAGCAUAUGCUAGCCCAUGUAACAAAUUAUAAACGCAGUUCAUGCUAUGAGGUAUAAGAAAGAAUGCACAUUAGUGUUGACACCUAAAUUUUGGCGACCCGUUUUGUCAUUUAUUGCAUUAAAAAAUUAGGGGUUAAUUUUAUCCCCGAAAAAAUAGUCAAUUGUAUAGCAUAUAGAUUUAAGUGCAUUUGCAUUUUUUGCAUUUGUUUAUUGGACCGGUGGCGGAUGAGUUCGAAUUAGUGGUUUUGAGCUUUAAAUUGAUAGGCUGGACUAAGCCCACGAAGGGAACAAAUUGGCCCAAGCCCUUUUUUUUAUGAUCGAAAAUGAUCUCGUGAAAAAUAGAGAUUUGAAAUUUUUCCAGGAUAUGUUGGGGGAUUUUUCAAUAUCUUCGGAUAGGGCAAGUGCGACAAAAAUAUUGGGAGCUCAUCUUUAAAAUAUUCAGAAUCCGAGAAAAUUUUAUUACGAUCCCGAACUUUGGGCAAUGUUCGAUCAAUUGUGAGUUGGUAUUUGGAAAGAAAAGAAUUGUUUUUGUUGAUCUUGUGAUUAUAAAUGUGCGGACAAAAACAUCAAAAAGGGCAAGAAGGAUUAGCAUUAUUAAAAUAUAUAUUCAAUGAGGAUAUAUGGAUCCGCAAUGCGUACAAAGGAAAUAUAAACCCUCACAAAAGAGGGAAGUCAGUACGUGGACUUCUUUCCUAUAUUCAAAUUUCCCUUUUUGAAGUUCAUAUUCGGCCAGUAUAAAAAGCGUAAUGUUCGAGGAAAAAAGGGGAGGCCACACAAUUGAGAUACACGGCCAUAGGAGAGAACACACGCUAGAGAGAAUAAAAGGGAGAAAUCAUGGGGUUCGGCAAUUCAUUUGAGCGAUACACGUAAGAAGAAAGAGAGAGAGAGAGUCCACGGCCGAGUACUUCGCGUCCAAAAAUCUCAAGGCUGUGCGUCCACCGAUCCUCACCACCGUCAUUAGAAUCCUCACUGUCACUCACUGCUGCCUUCCGAAGUUGAGAAGUUGCUGCCUCGCUGAAGAUCUCCGAGCACUUUCUGUCGCAACUGAUCGUGAGUGAUACGUGCAUGGUGGUGUUCACUUCAACAACACACCCUCAUGGUCAAAGUUUGAUAAUCAAGGAGGUUUAUCACAAGACCUGCAGAAUUCGCAAAGAACUUGGGAACUAGCCAAGUUUGUCAUUGGUCAAAGUCUCCCUAGCGUCCUUUGCUACCUUGCCGAGAAGCCCUGCACAGCUACGUCAUCUCCAUACGAAUAAAGCUCGGGCCCAACUAACGCGAUGGCUGAUGCUGCUCCCUGUCCGAGACCUUGACAUUGGAGCCCCACCGCACUGCUGUCCGAGCCCUGCCGAUGAGCUGACACUCCUAUUGAUACCGACAUCGCCUGCUUGAAGCUGCUGCCAUUGUUGCUUACGUCCACAAACCGAGAUUCAGCAAAUUCCCGACAACGCUGUUGCUCCCCCGACGUUGCAGUUUCCUCGUGUCGCUGAUCAGACGACGUUGUCAUCCAAAACCCCGUCGUGAAUAGCAAAGCCACCGUUCCCAUUCGCAUCCAAACCGAGUCGAUCCCGAAGCUCCUAUUUUUUGCAGGUUCGUUGACCGUGAGCCCACGGUCAUCCUUUACUGAGGAGCACCAUUGUGCCGAGCUUCGUUCACGCACCGCCCUCUCCCGUUGAGCGGAUUCCAUCCGGUUCAAAUUUGGUAACAUUAUUUGCAAAAUUAGGUAAUUAUCUCAUCUAAAUUUGAUUUGGAUAUUUUAUUGCCUAAUGCAUGCUUUUCAAUAUCUUACGUGCAUGUUUGAAUUAUCCGCGUGUUCCCAAUUACGAUUUAUUGCCCAAUUCGCAACCACACACGGAUUUUUUAUUCCAUCUAUAAGGCUUUAAAUGGAAUAAUUAACCACGCGGGAGUAAAAUUGAUAUUUUGAUCUUUAAGGCUUAAGAUUAAUUUAUCGAUUUUAUUAGCAAAAGAAUUAAGUUUGAAUUUCAAUUCGAAUGGUGGAUAGCGUUUUUGAUGAUCAUGGAUGGUUUGAUGUUUAUCUCUUAAUUGUUUUGUUUAUCCCGAAAAUACAAAAAAAUUGCAUUUGCAUGUCGUGUAGAAUUAUGGCAUAUUUUGUACGUCAUUGCAUAUUAGGGUUAAAUUGCACUUAGUUUAAUUUUAGGUAAUAUUUUUCUUAAUUUAUUAUAAGUUUAGGUAUUUUCUUAAAUAGAAUGCAUUUUAGGAUUAUUUGGGUUAAGAUAAUAUUUUAUUUUAAAUUAGGAUUUGGUUUAACUUAAUUCCUAAUGCAAAUUGAAUAGGAUCUUAAUCUAGCUAGAUAAUUUUCACAUUUUAUCUAAUUUCGAAUUUUAGGAAAAAGAAAAAAUGUCACAGGUUAAAUUAGUUUUAUUAUUUAGGAUAAAAUGCAUUCUUUUAGGAAAAAGGAAAAAUGUCAUAUGCACGUCAUUAGGGUUAGAUUCAUUGAGAUGCGUGUCAUUUAGUAUUUUUGCUAGGCCCAUUUAAUUAGAAAUUAUAUGUCAUUAGAAUUAGGUCAUUUAGUUAAUAUUGCAUUGCAUAUUGCAUGAUUUUCAUCAAUUAAGUAAAAACAAAAAAAAAAAUUGCGUGUUAAUUAGAAACCAUAUCUAGGGUUGUUGAUGUGGAUUUUAAUUUAACACUGCAAUGCUUUCGUUGCUUUGAGGUAAGUUUUUGCAAUUUAUUUAUUGUUUAUCUGAGUGUUAAAUUGAUGGUUUGUGCACCCGUAUGAUCACCUCACAUAUUAGGGAAAUAAAUUUAAAAUCAAUCCAAAUUGCUUGCCAAACAUUUUUUCAAAAUAAAAAGAAAGGUACCGAAAGGGCAUUAGAGGAAUAUAGUGUAACAAAGUCCCCGUACCCAUAGUCUCUGGUUCGUAGAAGUAAAGUAAAUCUUCCGUUACUUUAGUUGGGUUUCUAAUCGACCCACCAAAAAUAGAUUAGUGGCGACUCCUAAUUAAAAAUUUGCAUGUUAAGAACUUGAACCGAAAGUCGCGAAUUGGUAUGAGCUUGGGAGAGCUCGAGUUAAGUCUAGGCUUAACAAUCCAUCAACCAAACCCUAGGUGGUUCACAUCCAAAAAAUUGGUCGCGACAGCUUGGCGAUGUCGUUGUCACACAACCAAAAGCCGUGGAAAGCCAUCUAUCAUUCAAAUAAAAAAAAAUAAAAAAAAACUAGUCUUGCUAUUUUCAAAAGCUCUUGUAUUUCUUUCUUCACAAUGAAAUAGUAAGCUAUUGAAGUGAAUCAACCAUGAACACAGCCCAACAUAAACAAGGAGUAAUAAAAACUACUUACUGUUUGAUGUUGGGUUCUAAAAUCCAACAAAAGGAAGUUCUCUAGUAGAACCCAAAAACAGGAGUGUGCCAUAGAUUCACGGAUAAUUUAAACAGAAAUUACAAGACCUAUGAAACAGGCAAUUGGAUAGAAAGCAAAUGAAGGUUUGUUGCAGAAGGCAGUCAUAGACAUUGUGGACCUGAAUAUCCAUGCAUAGUGAUGAACAAGGCAUUACUGCAGGGUGAGCUUGGCAUCUAAUUUGUAACAACAAGAGAGAGAAUGUCAAUCAUCAUAGCAGCUGAGGCUGUGUUCUCCAUGAUAGCUACUACCCAAUCAUCUCUUUGACCCAACAAUUGAGAUUCAGAUGCAGGGUGGCUAGUUCAUAUUCAGAAUAGCAGAUUAGUACAGCCACACUCAUUAAGUCAGACCAAUAACUGAGAAUGAACUAGCCAUUGUAAAUAGACUGCUUCUGAUGACCUUGCUGGCAUCAAGGCGAGCUGAGAGUUGCCAAAAGCAUUAUCUGCACAUUCUUUCUGAAUCAUUGAUUUCAGGAGUUCCAGUGGCAAUUUUUAGGACUAACAAGGAAUGAGAUGGAUCAGCCCACUAUUAAUUAACUUGGUUUAUAGAUGUAAGUAGAGUUUGUCUAAUUAAAUCUGUACAAAAACUCGAAUCUUUCAACUCGUGAAGAAGAAGACUGGAAAGCAAGUUAUCUUUACAACUCGAAUAAGAACAUAUGACCUUAAAAUGAAUCAUGAGGCUUGUAUUUAUUGUCAAUUUCAUGUAUAUCCAUUAAGGAGCUAUCUCCAACUGCAAUAUCCUCCAAUUCACUGAUGGCUUCUAUUUGGUUAAGCUGCAUAGCAAUGCCUCCAUCCUCAGAGCUACCCUCUAGAAAAUCAUUAUCUUCCAUAUCUGAUGAGUCCAUAAAAGUUUCCAUCUUUUUCUUCCUCCCCAUAUAACCAAUAAGGCUUGGGACUUUUUCCUUCUAAAUAACGAGCAAACAUUUAUGGAUCAGCUCCGCACCUUCAUAAGCUCCUCUGAAGAACACACUAAACCUCUUUCCCCUCUCAGAGACAUAGAAAACGCCAUAAUGCUUCAAUAGGAGUCUCAUCAGCUUCUGAGGCAUCACAAAUUCUUGUCGAAAGUGCGCGAGGUGAUUGGUUACCAACCUUUUUUCCAUUGUGAAGCUAAGUAACUCGUGCAUUGCUGCAAUGGAUCUCUUAUUAAAUUCUUUCAAUCCAGCUUGAAGGCCACAUGCAUCAGCGUAAGGAGUCAAGUAAGACCUUUUCUGAAAGUGCUCAAUCUUCCGUCCAUAUCUACACACCUUCUUGUAACUGGCAGGAAACUUCAAGGGGAAAGAUAGGGAAAGCAACCCUGGAGUAUGAAAAGGCAAAUUAUGAUACCCCCAAUAUGGCCUUCUCCAACUCUGUGAUAGCCCAAGCAGGAUUCCACUCUAUGAGCUCGAGGUAAUCAACUUCAUCUGGAGAUUUAACCACUUUGAAGUGCUGCGGAUACUCAUGUACCCACUUGCUCCUAAAAUCAGCUGGCAAACCAGACUCUCCUGAAAUGAGCAAUUUUGUCCAGAGGAAGCCAUUUAUCGACCGACGUCAUCAACAUCCUAGUUACGUAUUCAACAGCAUGCCAGAAUGUCCCCUAAUCAAUCUCUCCUCUUCCUCUAACAAGUCUUCAGCUUCUUUAGUUAAUUCCAAACCACAAUACCCCCUUCUGAUCCUUACACAACUCAAAACAGUUUUGGUGACUUCCGAAUAAAAUCCACUCUACCGUUUGCUUGGCUAUAGAUCCAGCGAUCUCACAGGGAUUAUCGGGUUCCUUUUUCAACAUUUCCAUCAAAACCAACACCUUCGACACCACUUUUGCUUCUCAGUGGCAAUUUCGAGAUCAUGGACCCUCUUGUCCUUGUUCCUAUCUUACACUCUCUUGCUGGUGGUCAUGAAUCUACGUUGUGACCAGUUAAGUAAAAUCUCAAGACAAAAACAUUCGAGAAGAUCGCCAUAAAAGAAAACACAUGCUCCGUGUUCAUUGCCUUUUACUGAAUCACUGAGUUACAAAUUUUAAGACGUGUGCCCAAACUAGUCACGAGCAAGUUCUUAGCAAGUCAUUCCGGAUAACUCAAUUAUUCAUUAAUAUUUUCUUAAUUCUAUGAGCAAUAAGCAUGCAGUUCAAACAUAAUGCAACUAAACCAAGUAUUGACCACAAUAUGGAUCGAUUCUUUUCCUUUUUUAAGCGGAACUUAAUUCAUUCUAAUUUAAGAAAAUUAUAAGCCGAACAGGAUUAAGAUAAAUAAAAAACCAAGCUAAAAAAAAAACUGAGUUAUUUAAUGUGAAAUAAAUAAAUAAAUCAAACCAAUAUUUUCCUCUCCCUCUUUAGGAGCGUAUCUGAUAAAUUCUUAAAACAUAUUCAUUAAACCUCAGUCAAACCUCAGAAUAACGAAACUCAGUCAAACCUCUUUUUCUUAAAAGAGAAAAAAGAAAAAUAAGCUGAGAGCCAUUCCCCCCCCCCCUUCCCGCCUCUCCGAUCGUUUCCAAAAUCUGCCAAAAAAAAAAAAUUCGAAAGUUUCUCCUCCUGCGCAGAGUGAAAUUCCAUGGUCGUCGUAGAUGCUUUUGUCUCUCAGGGGAGUUUCACGAAGCUCCGCUUGAUUUCACCUCAUGUCCUUUUCCGCGGGCACGAUCGCCGGCGAUGGUGAUUCUGAGUUUCGUCUUGUGUUCGCUCGUUGAUGUUCAGAGCCAAAGAGCAGAAGAUCGUGGAACGAGAGGACGUCGACGACGGAGCAGAAGACCUGCUCGAAACGAUCGACAAACAAACGUGAGUUACGGCAAAAACAGAGUGGAGGCAACUCCUCUCUGUUCAUAAUGCGUUUUCGUAAUGCGUUUCGGUGGCAUCCUUUGAUUCUGAGAUGAUUAUCGUGAUUUUCUGAUCCGUGUUCCGAAAGUUAAAAUUGAGAUGCAAAUGGUUCGAUGAAGCUGUGGCCGUGAUUAUCGUGAUUUACAUCUCGAGCUUUCUCUCGAACUUGCUGUGAUUUCCUGCGCGUGCAGUGGUUUUCACUUUUCAGUUUUUGUCUCCUGACCAUACAAGAGCAAUUCCAGCCUUCCUUAUGUUACGUGACCUUGGAAUUGCACCAUCGUACGUCUUAUUUUCCAUGUAUUCGUGACAUAGCUGGAUUAAUAACGAAUGUCCCAAGCUUAAUUCAUCGAUAAAGACUGUUGGAACGCUAGAUUGUCAUUGAUCAUUUAGGAAAUGCUUUUGUCCUGUCAUUCUACAUUCACCAGAAAACAUAGAGUUUAACACGAUGGUUAAGCUCGAGUCUUCGUUGAAGGACGAUUCUGAUUCGCUCAAAUCCAGCAAAGUGAAGAAUAAUGUGGAGAGAAUCGACAACUGGAAGCCAAGCCCUCGAUAAGCUUUUAGGCGGUAACAGACUUUCUUUUGCAGACUGUGUGUCUUUUUCUCCAUGCAUUUCAACGAAAACAAAUUUCACCGGUUUGGCAAUCUUGACAGGUGGUAUUGAAACUCUGGCAAGUACGGAAGCAUUUGGCGAACCUGGGUGAAAAUCACAGUCCAACAACGUUACCUUUGAUGAACUUUUAGUUGUUUUUGUUAAUUAGCUUUCUCAGAAAAAUGCUGCGGACGUCACUUCAGGUCUGGGAAAACACAGCUUGCAUGCACCCCAUGCGUUACUUCCCGGGUUGGUCUGAAUUGGAUAUUAGGUUUCUGUCUUGAACUUCUGUUGCAUUUGUUUUUUUUUUUUUUUUUUCCUGAUGAAAAAUGCCAAAUAGUAACAUAAUGAUUGAAUUUCUAUGGAGUAUAAAGAUGUGGGUAAUCUUGGCAUCAUGAUGCGUGUAUUAGGUGAUUCUGGAAGUAUGGCACUCUCAUUUUCUGUAAUCUGCAGUCAGUAUACUGGAACGCAUGUACAGUGGCUCAAACCAAGCAGGAAAAAGGCCAGAAGAGUUUGUACUAUGUCACAACCGAGUAAAAGCCUUAAUCAUAGUCGGACUCGGACUUGGGUUGAUCAUUAGUCGAAUGUGAUGCUUGAAGAUACUCUACUUUAUUUGCAAAUCCUACAACAGUAUUUACCCCUAUUUUCAAUCAUUCUUUAUUAAUGGUUUGUGGAUUCCAUGGCUGUAAAAUAUUUUCAGCUGCCAACUCACAUGAGAGGAGGAAAUGGCAAGGUAGCUUAUAUCGACGCAAGAGGAACUUUGUAUCCUAUUAUGAUCUGUCUGUAUUUUUCUUGACCUCUUGACAAAGAUACUUGUGUUUCUGAAUCGUAUGUAAGUGCAUGUGCACUUUCUUAACUUAGUACACCUGUAGUCUUAGAUAACGUAAGCAAUGCACUUUCAAUUUUAAUCAAAUUCUAGACAUAAACACGCUCCAUGUCCGUCACUCUUUACUAAAUCACCUAGUUACAAAUUUUAGGAUGUAUGCCAAUCUAGGUUUAGCACAACCAAAUCGGUCAUGAGUAAGUGCUUGGCAAGUCAUCGUGAAUAAACUUAAUUGUCGAUUGAUAUUUUCAUGAUUUCAUGAGCAAUCAGUGCGGAGUUUGAGCACAAUGCAAUUAAACCAGGAACUGACCUCAAUGCAGAUCGAUUAUUUUCCUUUUCUAAGAAGAAAUUUAUGCGGUCCAAUUUGAGAAAAUUAUAAACCAAGCGAGACGAAGGUGAGUACAAAAUUAAACCAAAUCGAACUAAAUUAUUCAGUCCGAAAUUAAAAAUAAAUAAUAAUAAUAAAAAAAAAAAAGAGGUCAUACCCAAUUUUCUCUCAUCCUCUUUAAGAGUGGAUUUAAAAAGAUUUUAAGAAUUUAUCAGAUCCAUUAAAGCUCAAUUUAUAAUAACAAAACUCCAUCAAACGUAAGUCAGGGCAAAACAAGGGCGUAGGCAACUGCUGUCUGUUCAUCUCAUCGCUUUCAGUUUCUCGUCGAUGUUCCGGUGCGUCGUUUGAUUCUGAAGUUGAUCAUCGUGAUUUUCUGGUCUCUGUUCUCAAGUUGACUGUAUAUCUCUUUGAAUGUCGAUGUUAAGUGACUCUGAAUACUGCUAAGUGCAUGAGCUUGAUUUCGGUUUCGGUUGCUCAGUUAAGCUCGAUUUUCCUGGAACAUCACCGUGAAUCCAUUGGCGUUUUUACAUCUCGGCCUUUCUCUCGAACUUGUCGCGAUUUUCUGCGCGUACGAUAGGUUUUAGUUUUUGUCUUCUGAUCAUCCAAGAGCAAUUCAGCCUUCGUUAUGUUACGUGACAUCCGCCGGAUGUCUUUUUUCCCGUGUAUUCGUGACGUAGCUGGAUUAAUAACGAAUAUCCUAAGCUAAUUUCAUCAAUAAUAUCUGUUGGAACGCUAGAUUGUCAGUGAUGAUCUAGGAAAUGCUUUUGUCCUGACAUUCUACAUUCACCAGAAAACUUAGUUUAACGCGAUGGUUAAGCUUGAGUCUUCAUUGGAGGACAAUUCUGGUUCGCUGAAAUCCAGCAAAGUGAAGAAUAAUGUGAAGAGAAAAUGAAAGACUAAGAUCGAACAGUAUCUCGAGCGUGUAAUGCGGAAAGCUGAUAUAUCUGCCGAGGAGGAUCUGAAAUUGGAAAGGAAGCUUGCCAAGAAGCUCAAGGUGAAGGAUGGACAGCUAUGUGGGUCAGACGAUGGAAUGAAUGUGUUAUUUCAAGGAAUUCCUUCUAUUCUUGAUUCUUUUGAACAAGAAGCGCCAGGGGUAAGAGAAAAUCGUAGCGAAAUAUUUGAAGGUAAAUCUUCAGGGGAAAAAAGUGAAAUGUCCAACUAAGAGCAUAUGCAGGAUGAUGGAAAAGCUGUUUAUGUUAAGGCUGGAGCCUGUGACUCAGGAGACUAGAAACCCCUUCAUUUCAGCUCUCAAUUGAGUUCAUGAGCUCCGCAAAUUUCAAUUCAUUUCCUUUUCAUGAUGUGAUUGCCAAGAAUGAUUCUGAGUUUCCAUUUGACUCCCUCUUGAACCUGUCGUGAUUUUCUGUGCAUACGAUAGUUUAAUUUUCUUUCCUUAAAUGACGAGAAGUAAUUUCCGCUACUACUUGAAUAUGAUACGUCUAAUUCACCUUUUUGACGUAUGUCUUCUAAAUCAUACAAGAGUAAUUUGGCCUUUGUUAUGUUACGUCACAUAGUAAUUGCACCAUCAGUACAUCUAUUAUCCACGUAUUUAUGGCAUAGAUGGAUUAAUAACGAAUCUCCUAAGCUAAAUUCGUCAACAAUCACUAUUGGAACACUUGACAUUCUACAUUCACCAGAAAAUAUAGAGUUAAACACGAUGGUGGGUUGUUUUUUUUUCGUUUGCAGGUAUUUCUCAGGGAAUCCAUGCUGGAGAUGUGAAAAAAGAUACAGGAUGCGGGGAUCGACACUUGCAAAUGUCUUGAUGAUGCAUACAGAGAAGGUAUAUCUGAUAUUCAGUUCCGAAAAUUAAGCGAAGGUAUUAUUUGGCUAAGGUGAUUUCCUGUGUCUUUGUUUUGUUUUUUUGUAGCACUUAACUAGAACCAAAGGUUUAUCUGAAGCAAAAGUUGAUAAGAUAUGCGAAUCAGCUGAAAAGAUAGUGGUUAGAGCUUAAUUUCUUCUUAUCCUGAGAUGGCGCCGUAAUCAAUUGCAACUUCUAUAUGCAUCUCACAAUAACUUCUCUUUGUUUUCAUCAGAAUUCUCAUUUUAUUACGGGAAUUGAAUCUAUGCUCAGAGCAAGUUAUGCUCAGAGUAAGUCCUUAAUUCGGCAAAUUUCGAGCUAAAAUGGUUCGGAAGACCUGAAUGAGUCAUUGACCCUUGAAAUAAAGCCUGCAAAUUAACAUAUCGACUGUAGAGAACUGCACUUGCUCCAAACCCUACUUGUCUCACAGCACAAAGUACUUUCAAUGUCUUCGUUUUUUCCAGAGCAAGUCGGUUAUUUGCAUCACAACUGGAAGCCAAGCCCUCAAUGAGCUUUUAGGCAGUAAUAGACUUUCUUUUGUAGAUUGUGUAUAUCAUUCUUCAUGCGUUUCCACAAAAACAACUUUCCCUGGUUCUGCGAUGUUAAACAGGUGGUACUGAAACUCACGCAAUUACAGAAGCAUUUGGCGUAUCUCGAUGACAAGCACAGUCCAAUAACGUUACCCUUGAUGAACUUUUAGUUGCUUUUGUUAGUUGGCUUUCUCAGAAAAUGCUGCUAACGUCACUUCAGGUCUGGGAAAACACAGCUUGCACAUACCCUGUUUGUGACUGCUCAGGUUGGUCACAAUUGCAUGUUAGGUUUUCGUCGUUAACUUCUAUUUCAUGUUAUGUUUCCUAGAUGAACAACAUAAAUAGCAAGAUAAUGAUUGAAUUUCUAGUAAAGAAUAAAGCUAUGGUUAAUAUUGGCAUCGGAACAUGUUUAUUAGGUGAUUCUGGAAGUUUGGCACUCUCAUCAUCUGUAAACGGCAAUCAGCAUACUGGAACACACAAUCUAUAGUGGUUCAAACCAAGUAGGAAAAGGCCAGGAGAGCGUACUAGGUCAUAACCAAUCAGAAGCCUUAGUCAUUGUCAGACUUGGACUUGGGUUGAUCAUCAGUUGAAUGGGAUGCUUGAAGUACUCUACUAUAUAUGCAAAUCCUACAACAUUAUUUUCCCUUCUUUCCAUCACUCUUCAUUAAAGCUGAUCCCGUUCCAUGAGAUGAUAUCUUAUGGUUUGUGGAUUCCACGAUCCUAAUAAUUUUAACAGCUGCCAACUCACGUGGGAGGGGCAAAUGGCAAGGUAGCAUACCUCGCCACAGAAAAAACUUUGUAUCCUAUUAUAAUCUGUUGGUCAUUUCCUUGACCUCAACAAAGCUGCUUUUGUUUCAUACUCGGCUUAUGUCCAUGUAAGUGCAUAUGCACUUUCUUAACUUGGUACACCUGCAGUUGCCAUGAUUGAAUUGUACAAAUAGCUGAAAGAUUUGGCAUGGAUCCUGGUGCCGUCACACGUAAUGGAAGCAAUGCUUUCUACACUGGUGGCAAUCUUUUCUGGCUAAUGUACUUGCUGUAAUCUAGUCUUUCCAUGAAUUUGAAGAUCAUUUAUGCCCGUGCCUCUACUUCUAAGCAUCUGUACAACUUCCUUCUCAGUUUGGCUGCCAAAGUGUCUGAAGAACCAUUUAGGUUCCUGGUAAGACAGUGCUCAAGAAUCAAACUGCACACAUUUUGUAAGGUGUCGAUGGUUGACCUUAGCUGAGUAAUAUCUUUCAGAUUGUGGAUUCAGUGAUCGCUCUCUUUCAAGUGGAAUAUAAUGGAAGGGGAGAACUUGCAGGGCGUCAGGUCGAUUCCGAAACCAUCAAAUCAUGCGAGUUGCAAAUUUUCAGCUCAUCUAGUUUGACACUAAUAGAUUUCCAAUUGCAGCAAACAUUGGCACAAAUGCUCUCACGCUUACUUAAGAUAGCCGAGGAAUUUAAUGUGGCAGUGUACAUGACCAAUCAAGGUACCGCAUCACAUCUCUUUUCUCCCACCUAGUCAUGCAUCCUUUAAAGGAUCUUAUCCAAUUUAGCUCUUUGAUGGUUGCACACUGAAAAAUAGCAAUUUGGUGACUACACUAAGCUCAUACUAGUUCUCAUAAAUCUCAAGAACCAGCUUUUUGGUGUAAACUAGUGAUGUGCACGGUAGCUGCAGUCCAUGAGUUAAGCAAAAAAGAUAAUUUUUUUGACAACUUUUUCUUUGAUUUCUUUGUUUCAGUGGCAUCAAAGAAGCAUGCAGGUGGGCAUGUUCUGGGUCAUGCAACCACAAUUAGGUUGAUGUUUACAAAUGGCAAAGGUGAGCAGUGGGUUUGCAAGGUGUUCAAAGCCCCAGACCUACCUAAAGCUGAAGCUAUAUCCUUUUUGUCUGGAUCUUCGUCUAGCUAUACACUUUAUUGAAAUUUACCAGAUUACACUGCAGACAUUAAACGAAAUUUCUAGAAAUCUAAUAUCAAUCGGAGAGAAAGUUGAUACUAAGUCUAUAUAUGGAUAGGUGGAGACUAGAAUUUGAGCAGUAUACUUGUAGUAUACUUACAUGCGCUGCCUGUGCUAUGGAAAUAAAAUACCCAACCAUUGAUGAUGCCAUACUGCAGAUCUUCCUCUAGUUAUAUACUUCGUUGAAAUUUUUCAGACCAUGCUGCAGAUACCAAGUAAAAUAUCUGGAAGUCUAGAUCAAAAUCUGUGAGAAAGUCGAUAAUUAGUCUAAAUAGGGAUAGGUGGAUACCUGAUUUAAGCAUGAUACUCACUUUAUACUUGAUGUUGCCUGGAGAUCCAUGAACAUGUUGAAUACGAAUUUUGUCCAGAGGAAUUAAACAAAAAGAAGUAGCUGUUGAGAAUUUUCCUCAGUAGGACCGGUAUGAUAUUUUUAGCUGUGCUGUUAUGUAGAUGAUGCACAUCUAUCAAGACCAUCACUUAAUUUAAUCAAAAAAUUUAGGAAGAGCUCAUCUAUCAAUAAGAUGAGACUGAGAUAUUCAAUAUAUGUUGAACUUGACAAACACAUGUUUUUCAGAUAACACCAGGAGGCAUCACCGAUGUGAAGGACUGAAGGAGUCUCUCCAACCAGGAGGGCAGGCGAAGUGCUUUUUUUUGUUAAUCUGCAAUUUGAUAUUAGUCAUCGUAUUGACCGCAAGAGGCAUAUAAUGAGCUCCCAAGAACUUGUUCAUUUCCUUUCUCUGCAAUGGACACUUUGUCACCCUUGUCAUAGCUUGUCCCUAAGUUUCAUGUGCUCGACAACAAACCAUUCAUGAAUGACAUGAGAUACUUUCUCUAACUGUGAUGGUGACCCAAAAGAUUUGUCAACUACAAUGUCACCUUUGUGUAUCAAAUGCAAAAUAUAUCAUAAGGGUAAGGCCGAAGUAUCCUUUCUGCUUCUUCUAUUUAUGUUUAGCCAAUUGAAUGCAACUAAUACAGCCUUAUAUGCUCUUAGGAACUUAAUCGAGCAUGGCAUGUCAUUGAAAGGUCAUAGGACUUCAUAAGAGAUGUAACCAAAAGAAAAUUAUUCUGUGUCAUUUCGAAUAACCUCAAAUGAAAUGAAAUUUAUCAAUCACUGUGUUUCGUCAUAAAGAAAAAUAAAAUAAAAUUCUCCACUGCAAUAUGUUUUUAACUACACAUAAUAGCAUAUGGGUUUAAGGUCAACAGUUUGUGGAUACCAUGGUUUUUAUGAGCCCGAGAAGAAUCUAGUCACAAUAUUUAAAAACUAAUUACCCAACAUCAUCUCCAUUGAGUUCACAAUAAUUUUCUUUUGAUAAUUAAAAAAACUUUGUUGAACUUUCUUACACGAGCAAUCUGGCUUUUGUUUAUGUUACACGACAUUCAAAUCGCACCAUUGCAGUAGCUGCAGUCCUUGAGUUAAGGAAAAAGAUGAUUUUUGAUGACUUUGUCUUUGAUUUAUUUAUUUCAGUCGUAGAUGAUCUAGGCGGUGCUGUGUUCAUAUCAGACCGAAAGAAACCUGCGGGUGGGGAUGUUCUGGCUCAUUUAGACACAAUUAGGUUGAUAUUUAGGAAAGGCAAAGCUGAGCAGCGCGUCUGCAAGUUGUUUAAGGCCCCAGACCUACCGAAAGCUGAAGCCAAGUCGAUACUGAGUCUACAUAUAGAUAGGUGGAGACCUGAUUUAAGCACGGUGCUCACAGUAUACUUGAUGGUGUAUGGAGAUCCAUGAACAUGUCGAAUACAAAUUUUGUGCAGAGUAAUUAAACAAAAAGAAGUGGAUAUCCAGAAUUUUUUUAAGCAGGACUAGUAAGUUAGUUGUGCAGCCUGUGCUAUGUAGACUGCACAUCUAUCAAAACCAUAACUUACUUAUGUAAGAAAUUUUAACGAGAGCUCAUAUGUCAAUAGGGUGAGAUCGACAAGCGCACGUUUUUCAGAUAACAACAGGGGCAUAGCCGAUGAGGACUGAAGAGGUCUCUCCUACCAAGAUGGCCAGGCGAAGUGCUUUUUUAUUUUAUCUUUUGGGUUAAUCUGCAAUUUGAUUUUAGUCAUCGUAUUGAUAGGUACCUCUAUCUCCAUGUUAAGUUUGUAUUGGCAGGCAUCAAGCUCCUUUUGACAGCUUUAAAAUUGCACGAGAGGUUACCGCUUUAGCCUUAAUAUCUAACAUGCUAUCAUUGUCUGUUAUUAAAGUUCACAUGACCCUUCACAAGGUGUUGUGUAAACUUGAUUUCCAUAUGAGAACCAGCACGCUCCAAGUUAUAAUGGUUCACAUUUGUUCUCAUAUGACAAUAUCGUCCUGGUUUGAUUUACUAGUAGAGGUUCUAUGCGGAAAAUAUUACAUUGGAUAGACUUUGCAUGACGGCUAAAUGAAAUGCCAGAAAGAUAUUACUGCACAAAGCAUGAUCAGGUUCUGUAAAGGCUUGGUUUUAUAAGUACAUAUACAGCUGCAUAAAAACGAUGUGAUCUCAAACUCUCAAUAUAGAGCAACGGACCAUUAGAGCUGAAAAAAUUGUCAAUGUAUGAGAAAGGGUGACUGGGUCAUAAGCAACAGAAGGCCAUUCAAUAGCUAAUGGCCUGACCAAAAGGGGCCACAAUGCAUAUGACUCGGCAGUGCAAGGACAAGUUCACAGCACUUCCAACUCUAGGCAUACUGGACUCCUUAGUCUCUGCACCACUUCAAAUGUAGCGCUUUGUACUCAGCCCAAGCUAUUCACCCUAGGAACUGGCUUCACCUCAUUCGGUGCAUGCUCGUAACUCCUCAAACAUUUAGAGCUGAUAAAGAAGCAUCAUGCGUUGGAAAGAAGGCAACAUUAACAGGUGAACGAUUUGGCACUCAAAAAUCACUGGAAGAGCAACAUUGUACGUGAAAAGGCACAUUUCAAUACAUGGAUACAGGUAAAGAACACCAUUUUAACCUUAGAUUAUAGAUUUAUGUUCGAAACCAAUUUUUCCAAAAUGCUGUUACCCAACAACAUAACAUUCUCCUCUGAACUCUGCUUAAUAUCAGCAGAGCUCAUCCAUCCUUACUUUUCAGAUUGCAAUGCAUGGACCAAAUUCCAGUGGAGCUGCAUCAACAAACUGAAAAAAUAAUUACCUUUAGGAAAUGGUGCGAAAGACUUCCCAAAGCCCAUCUUCACGACUUCUGCAUCAUCUGAGCGAACAAGACUGCCUCUAGAAUCAAUUCCCCAGGAGGAAGGAAAACUGCCAUAACAUCCUGAAUGAUUCAGAGGACAGAAAGGAUUAGAUAUAGAUCACAGGUGGAGGGAGAGAUUGAGAGCGAUAUCCCAGAACGAAACCAAUGAACAUUAUUGUUACUCACACAGGCCAGACAAGGGGUUUUAGAAGUGCUGUCGAAGAGCACAAAACCAAACUUCCUGCUGAUGUCUCUCACGACUUGAUCAGCAGAGUAGGCCUCCGAUCCCUCAGAGUUCAAUAAGCUUCUACGACGAUAAUGACCUCAUUAGCGGUUUUUUUCCAUCCAUAUUGCUGCUUAAGAAGAGCAACAUUGGCUCUGUCCUUGGAACAAGAAACCGCAAACAAUCUGUCACAGAGGGUAAGGCAUGUCAAAUCUCGAUGUGGGACAAGCUGAUUGAGAAGAGAAGACAGUACGGCAAUUUCCGUCAAUUAACAAUCCAAUAAAUUUCAUUUUCUGGCUUUCAAAAUGAACCAGAGACUCGAGUUCCACUAUCUCCUUUAGGCUGACAAAUGGAACCUUUCAUGGUAUCACAGUAAAGUCCAACAAAAAUCAGUUUGAUCUAACCGUUGCCUCUCUAAAUAAUGAAAUCACGAUUAUUUUUUUCUUUUUUGGUGGUUAAAGCUACCUUUAUCAAGAGAUGGAGUGGGAAUUUGAAUAGAAGAAAGAGAAACUUUAUUCUUUGACCAGGUAAUCAGUUUUUACAUGGGUUUCGGCCAACAUAAUUCAUUCAAAAUUUAGCUGUUUCAUUCACAUAUCCAAACCUCUGUUUUAAAUUUAUCCUUCCAUCUAUACAAUAACUGUUAUGGGAAGAAAGAGAGCUUCUUAUUUUGAAUAUUGACCUGUAAAUGUUAAAAGGAUAUCAUCUAACCAAUUCACAUAUAGAAAUUCACAUUGUAUUUUGUGGCUCCUACAAUAUAGUCACUAAAGCAAUUCUGUACUUAGAGUCAAAAGUACAACUUUUUAACCUAUUGGCAAGUGAUACUGCAUAUUCAAUGUUAAAAACUUAAGACUCGUCCUUCCAUGAGCCCCAAUCAAAAUGACAAACGAGGGCUGCCGUUACUGUGAGUACAUCAUGUAUAUCAGCAGCAAUCCUCUCUUCAUCCUUUUUGGCUUUCUCUAUGUAACAAAGCCUCAUUUUAUGUUUUAUAAGGUAAUGUGAUGUGAUCUCAUUGAACCACUCUUGGCUGAUGACAAGAACUAAACUCACCUGAUUCGACGAGGACUGAAGUAUCUUAUUAUCAUCUUGGAAAUUCCCACAGAAAGGCGCCACCUUGCCUUGAGAAACCACCCAAAGCUUGUCCAUGCUUCCAGAUAUUGGAUGCUCAUCGUGACUAACCUGCAAAUCAAGGUGAAAAGAUGGCUAUUAGCUGUAAAGACAAUCCAUCAUUGGUCAAAUUGAAGUAUUCUAGCAAAAAAAUCAAUCUCACCAUCAGACAUCUUCCUUGGAACAAGACCAGCCCUCAAAUGAGCGCCUCAACCGCAUCCAAAUCCUGCAGUUUGGGAUAGUAAAAAACACAGAAUCAUACUCAUCAAUCCUUAGACAAGAAACUAGCAAUUUAGAAAGAUAGAACUUUAGUAGUCAUAGGUCAUUAAAGUAGAACUUAAAGUCGCUUUGGUGCAAGUGGAUCCACUCCACGUUCCUUAAAAGGAAGAACUUCUGGGUGGUUAAGCAGCCGACCUGUUGCUCUUGGGCCUGGAAGAAAAUUUUACAACUCAGAGUAGAAGUCCGGCUCAGUUUCUGGUGCAGAAUUGGGGAUGGCCUUUCUACGUCACUUUGGUUUGAUAACUGGCAUCCUAGGGGGCCGCUGAAUUGGGUUUUCUUGGAUGUGUUAAUCUAUAACUCUGGCCUUUCUAGAGAGACUUCAGUUGUAGACCUCUAUGUGGAGGAUGGGCAGGCUUUAAGGUCGGUGUUGGAGUCGUGGGAGAUUCCCCUCCCCUCCCUCUCUCUUAACCAAGGUUGCUUUUGCUGGAAGGAUAAUCCGGCAGGGUUCAUGGUGGCCAUGGCCUGGGAGGCCUUUAGGAGGAAGAAGCCCCGAAUUUUAUGGCAUCGUUUCAUUUGGAACAAUGCCAUUACACCCAGGUACCAAUUUCACCUUUGGCUUGUCGCCAAGCAUAGGUUUCCCACCCAAGCUUUCCUCCUCUCUUAUGGAAGGAUUGAUACUACUUUUUGCCCCUUCUGUGAGGAGGUGCCUGACUCUAUUGACCAUCUAUUUUUUGAGUGUCGGGUCACGGCUAAUUUGGCUUUCUUUUGGGCAACCAGAUGUAACCUUCCGUGGCGAAACCGGUCUUGGAAUGAAAAUCUCCUCUAGGCCACAACCUUUCUUGUGGGCAACGACUUCUUCAAAAGCAUGGCGCGGUUUUCUUUUGGCACUCUCUGUCAUAUCAUUUGGAGGAAUAGGAACAAUAUUCUCUUUAGAGAGGAGCCGCUGUCCAUUCCGGCCAUGAAGAAUCAUCUCCUCAAAGUGGUCAAAGAUAAGGCACUCUCUUUCAAGGAUGUGGAAGAUUCCUUCAGGAAUAGGAGACUACAACGCAGUUGGGACCUGAAUCCGAGUAUCUUUGCUCCGCGCGUUCUCCUCUCGGGUGACUAGCCGUCUCUAGAUCGACUGAUGUUGGUCUUUGUGUCGUCGUGCUUGUCUGGCGGUUGUUCAUGCCGUCUGGGUCUCUUUCUUUUCUUUUCUUGCUCUUGCCGCUUGGCCUCUUUCUCGGCUUCCUUCCACUCAUAAUGAAGCCGUUCAUCUCGAGUGCAAGUUUAUGAAGACGGUUCGUUUUGUACUGUUUGGUCUUCCCCAUUUAUAUAUUGCUUAUUUUACCAAAAAAAAAAAAACAAAGAAAUUUCCACGUUAAUUAUGUGCAAAACCCAAUGCUGCCUAUAGGAUAUUGGAACUACUUGGUAUUGCAGAUUACUGCAAUACAAAAAACACCGAUCAUGCUAGCAUACAUGUUCAAUUCCCAAUAUUUUGCCAGUUGGAACAAUUAGAUUGGUUAUGUUCCAUUAUAAGUUAGAUGUAAGAUGGCAGAGGCUCCCUGUUGUGAUCACUAAUUGGUUCCAUUGUAUUUUCAAUGCAAAGACCAGAUUCCUAUAAGUUCAAAUAGUGCAAGAACAAUAUAACAAGCUAACUGAAAAAGUCAUCGAAGUCACAAAAUGGAGAAAAAUGAGUAAAACUUAGCAGAUGAUCGGAUGGCUUGCAAGCCAAAACUAUGUGAGGUUUCUCAAAAGUUAUCUUGGCAAAUGCAACUUUCUGACCACCUAUUUAUAUGGGCAAAGAACCAUGUUAUAUGUGCAAUAACAUUCAAAAAGCCUCAGAGAAAGUAGAAUGAACCGCAAUUUAGAUUACAAAUUAACUCACCUCUAAAAGAGCUUCACGAUCUCACACAAAAAUUGCUUCAAUAAAAAAUUUACAUAUGCAACAGUAACAGAGAGGGAGGAGAUGUAUCAUACAAGGUUUGCAUUCGUCGAACUGCAAGAUUUCCAGUUACACCAAACAAACACAAGUAAGCUCGAAACUUUUGUUCUGGAACUCCCCGCACGAAAAAUGCCACAUAAGAAGGUAUUUUCAAUAAAAUAACAUAAUGUAAGACAAAAUAAUAUUCCACAUUAGAGUAAACGCACAUGACUGAUACUUUAAAGAACUGAAUAGUUUUGCCCCAAAGGUCACUGCUGACAACACAAUCACAGAAGCAGGUAGCAUAUCAUUUCAAUCUCAACCAAACAAGCAUAAGUAGUUUGGCUAAAAAUUUCUUGCAAGCUUUUAGUAAUAGUUCCUAACCCACCAGAGAUCAAGACCCAAGCGGAAGGUGAUUUAUGGAAUAUCAAUGCUGUCACGAAUUGGCGUGGCAUUGAAAGGUUGGAGCCAUGAGGCGCCCCAGAAUUUUAUCCCAGAUUGACUGGUUAAUACUACAAAGGAUCAUCAUCAACAAAAAGAAGGUUCUCAAUGAUAAAGGAAACCAUUGAAAAAAGAAAAGAAAAGGAAGUGCAUCCCUUUUCUUCACAAUCAUAUCACAGCAUCCACAUAACUAAUCAUGUUUUUAGAUUUUAGAAAAGAUUAUUCUUAUUUAGAUCGUAUUCACUAGAAGAAAAUUUAGAACAUCUCAAUGCACCAUAUAAAAUUAAACGCUUCUUUUUUCUAUUAUUAAAUUGCAAAAGGUGACACUUAACAUUGACAGCAUUAGCCCCACCUCAACAGCAUUCGCAAGUGAUCCUUCCAAGAGAUUUUGCCAAUACAAAUCACAGUGGUAUCUGCAAAGCAACCACAGUGAACAAGCUUAAGGGCAGAAGAAAAAGAAGUUGGGAAGAGAAAAUACAACAAACGCUGAAAAGCAUAGUGCAUUUUGAUUCACAAUUUGUUUGGCGGGUCACGCAAGUGCAAAAAUAAGCACAGUUUUUGGGCAUCAAGAAGAGUUCAAGAUAUGUCAUCAAUAUAGCAAGAUGCAGCUUUGUGAACAGUUCGUUCUACAUAUGUCAAUCUUUCACCUUCAGUGGCUGGUUUUCGAAAAUCUAUGUGAAAAGUCUAAAUGAGGAAAAUCAGUUCGUAUCAAGCAUCGAAUUUAGGAAUUGGCUUCACCUCCUUCGGUGGGUGCUCAUAACUCCUCAAACCUCUAGAGCUGGUGAAGCAGCAUCCUGAGUUGGAAGAGAAGGCAAUGUUAAAAAGGUGAACAAUUUGGCGCUCAAAAACCAUUGGAAGAGCAACAUUGUAAGUGAAAAUGCACAAAUCAAACAUGCAUACAGGUAAAGAGCACCAUUUUAACCAUAAAUUAUAAAUUUAGGUUUGGAACCAAUUUUUCCAAUAUGAUGUUACCCAACAAAAUAACAUUCUCCUCUCAAUUCUGCUUAAUAUCAGCAGAGCUCAUCCAUCCUUACUUUUCAUAUUGCAAUGCAUGGACUGAACCCCAGUGGAGCCGCAUCAACAAACCGAAAAAAUAAUUACCUUUAGGGAAUGGUGCGAAAGAUUUCCCAAAGCCCAUCUUCACGACUUCUGCAUUAUCCAAGAGAACAAGACUGCCUCCAGAAUCAAGUCCCCAGAAGAAAGGAACACUUCCAUCAACAUCCUGCAUGAUUCAGAGAACAGAAAGGAUUAGAUAUAGAUCACAGGUGACGGGAGAGAUUGAGAGUUAUAUCCCAGAACCAAACCAAUGGACAUUAUUAUUACUCAGAGGCCAGAAAAGCGGUUUUAGAACAGCUGUCGAAGAGCACAAAACCAAGCUUCCUGCUGAUGUCUCUCACAACUUGAUCAGCAGGGUAAGGCCUUCGAUCCCCAGAGUCCUAUAAGCUUCUAUGAUGAUGACGACCACAUUAGCAGUUUUGUUCCAUCCAUAUUGCUGCUUAAGAAGAGCAACAUUGUCUAUGUGUCCUGUGUCCUUGGAACAAGCAGAAGAUAUUAUCGACAACCGCAAACAAUUUGCCACAGAGGGUAAGGCAUGUCAAAUCUUGAUGUGGGAUGAGCUGAUAAAGAAGAGAAGACAGUACCACAAUUUCCAUCAAUUAACAAUCCAAUAAAUUUCAUUUUCUGGCUUUCAAAUGAACUAGAGACUUGAGUUCCACUAUCUCUUUGAGGCUGAUAUAUGGAACCUUUCAAAAUAUCACAAUAAAGUCCACCAAAAAUCAGUUUGAUCUAACCGUUGCCUCUCCAAACAAUGAAAUCAUGAUUUUUUUUUUUGGUUAAAGCUACCAUUAUCAAGAGAUGGAGUGGGUAUUUGAAUAGAAGAAAGAUAAACUUUAUUCUUUGACCAGGUAAUCAGUUUUUAAGUGGGUUUCGGCCUGCAUGGUUCGUUCAAAAUUUAGCUGUUUCAUUUGCAUAUUCAAACCCCCGUUUUCAAUUUAUCCUUCCAUCUAUACAAUAACUGUUAUUAGAAGAAAGAAAGCUUCUUAUUUUGAAUAUUGACCUGAACGUGUUAAAAGGAUAUUAUCCAACCCAUUCACAUACAGGAUUUCAUAUAGUAUUUUUGGCUAGGCAUGGUCUACAAUAUAGUUACUAAAAGCAAUUCUGUACAUAGAGUCAAAAGUACAAACUUUUUAAGAUAUUGGCAAGUGAUACUGCAUAUUCAAUGUUAAAAACUUAAGACUCAUCCUUCCAUGAGCCCUAAUCAAAUGACAAACAAGGGCUGCUGUUACCGUGAGUACAUCCUAUAUAUCAGCAGCAAUCCUCUCUUCAUCCUUUUUCGCUCUCUCCGUAACAAAGCCUCAUUUUAUGUUUUGUAAGGUAAUGUGAUGUGAUCCCAUUGAACCACUCUUGGCUGAUGACAAACUAAACUUGCCUGAUUCAACGAGGACUGAAGUAUCUUCUUAUGAUCCUGGAAAUUCCCAUGGAAAGGCGCCAGCUUGCCUUGAGAAACCACCCAGAGCUCGUCCAUGCUUCCAGAUAUUGGAUGCUCAUUGUGACUACCCUGCAAAUCAAGGUGAAAAGAUGGCUAUUAGCUGUAAAGACGAUCCAUCAUUGGUCAAAUUAAAGUAUUUUGACAAGAAAAUCAAUCUUGCCAUCAGACAUCUUCCUUGGAACAAGACCAGACCUUGAAUGAGCGCCUCAACCGCAUCCAUAUCCUGCAGUUUGGGAUAGUAAAAAUCACAGAAUCAUACUCAACAAUCCUUAGAAAAGAAACUAGCAAUUUACAAAGAUAAAACUUUAGUAGUCAUAGGUCAUUAAAGCAGAACUUAAAGUCCACAUUUAUAAACAAAGAAAUUUCACAUUAAUUAUGUGCAAAACCCAAUGCUCCCUAUAGGAUAUUGGAAAUACUUGGUGUAUAGAUUACUGCAAGACAAAAACACUGAUCAUGCUAGCAUACAUGUUCGAUUCCCAAUAUUUUGCCAGUUGGAACAAUUAGAUUGGUUCUGUUCCAUUAUAAGUUAGAUGUAAGAUGGCAGAGGCUCCCUGUUGUGAUCACUAAUUGGUUCCAUUGUAUUUUCAAUGUAAAGACCAGAUUCCUAUAAGUUCAAUUACUGCAAGAACAAUAUAACAAGCUAACUGAAAAAGUCAUCGAAGUCACAAAAUGGAGAAAAAUGAGCAAAGCUUACCAGAUGCAACAGUAGCAUAGAGGGAGGAGAUGUAUCAGACAAGGUUUGCAUUCGUCAAAGUGCAAGAUUUCCAGUUACACCAAACAAGCACCAGUGAGCUUGAAACUUUUGUUUCGGAACUCCCUAUAGGAAGAAUGCCACAUAAGAAGGAAUAUUCAAAUAAAAUAACAUUGUGAAUAUUGACAGUGCACCUAAUUCUUUCCUCUUGCAAUCAAAAGGCAAUCACAUUGAAGUACUCUCUUCUCUCACAAACUUUGCACAAUCGCAAAUUGCCCUCGCCAACAGCUUUGGUGAAAAUAUCCAUAAGAUAUCACCAUGGCAAAGCAAGACUACCAAACACAACAAUCAUCAGUAUGGCCAAUUGAAGUCACAGAACAAGAAGAAUCUAAGCUGAGAGUGGAUACAAGAGAAACCGAUUCCACACGAGGUCCACAACAUAAGACUUCACAUCGGUAGCGAUUGAUUUAGUCAUCAAGAGAAAUGACAACAAUGACUACCGCUUCAUUCAUUCAUUCUGCCUCACACAGCACACAUUUCUUUUGCAGGCGUUGUCGUCGACAAGAGACGAAGAACAUAUCAAUUGUCAACCAAACAAAAUGUGCAGGACAACCUUGGUGAGAUCAAAAUGGAGAAGUCACAAAUACGACCUCUUUUAAUUUAAAAACAUUUACUCGAUUGCUUAAGGCGGUGCUCAAGAUUGGCAAAAGGAUUUUACCUGAGAACCCCUGCAGAANNNNNNNNNNNNNNNNNNNNNNNNNNNNNNNNNNNNNNNNNNNNNNNNNNNNNNNNNNNNNNNNNNNNNNNNNNNNNNNNNNNNNNNNNNNNNNNNNNNNAUACCCUUGGGAAAUCAAAUCGCUGGAUGAGACGAAGUACGAAUUUUUCCUAAUUUUUUCUCGCACUCUUCGGAAUGAAGCUAUGCACCCAAACCAUUCAGCGAUUUUUUUCAUGUCCCUCCCCAAAUCAAAUCAAGUAUGGAAACACGAUAUCCGAAAAUUAUAAAUGCAAAAAUCUGGGAAACAAGGUCCCACAUACCUUCAGUGAAGAAAAUUAGGGCUAGAUCUACCAUUCAAAUGAUAUGUGCGGGAUAUGAGCGAUCUUGUCCCAGUCCUCGCCUGCUUGUCUUUUGCAACUCUCCCACAAUUCUCCGCAAUUGUAGAUGAGUAGGUGAGUAAGGGAUGUGAGCCUUCGCAUUGCUUCAGGGAAUGAUGUCAACGAGGAGCACUUGAUGAUGUCGAGAUUUUGAAGUGAUUGAAGGUCCUCGAUCUGCUCUGGUAUAUCCUUCAAAUUGUAGCAAUUCCAAAUAAGGAGACGCUCGAGAUUGCGGGCCUGUAGAAGCCAGUGUGGGAGAGAUGUCGGUUUGGGAAGGAGCUUUAUUCUCACGGAGCGGAGACUCGGAAGGCCUCCAUGGAAAUCCAAGAUGUUGCCGCUUUCGUCUUUGGAUAUAUCCAGCGCCUCACAAUCCUUGAAACGGAGAUCCACGAGGCUCGAUAGAUGUCGCAUACCUUGCGAGAGGGAAGUCAACUGAUGACAACCACCGAUGCUAAGAGAUUCAAGGGAAGUGAGACUUUGGAAGCCCUCCUCAGGCAAACAUUCUAAAAACUUUAUAUCGUAGAUAUUCAAUCUCUUCAACUUAUUAAGGCCAAGCAUCAUCUGAUUUAUCAACGCCGCUCCGUUGGCACGUGUCAGAUCUAACUCCUCGAGAUGAGGAGUUAGUGGCAUGGCUUUUAAUUUUUCACAGUACUCGAUCUUCAAUCGCAAUAGACUAGGAAAUGAUGCUGGUGAAGGGGAUGAUUGGUCCGACUCAAUAUAUUCCAAUUUAGGCAANNNNNNNNNNNNNNNNNNNNNNNNNNNNNNNNNNNNNNNNNNNNNNNNNNNNNNNNNNNNNNNNNNNNNNNNNNNNNNNNNNNNNNNNNNNNNNNNNNNNNNNNNNNNNNNNNNNNNNNNNNNNNNNNNNNNNNNNNNNNNNNNNNNNNNNNNNNNNNNNNNNNNNNNNNNNNNNNNNNNNNNNNNNNNNNNNNNNNNNNNNNNNNNNNNNNNNNNNNNNNNNNNNNNNNNNNNNNNNNNNNNNNNNNNNNNNNNNNNNNNNNNNNNNNNNNNNNNNNNNNNNNNNNNNNNNNNNNNNNNNNNNNNNNNNNNNNNNNNNNNNNNNNNNNNNNNNNNNNNNNNNNNNNNNNNNNNNNNNNNNNNNNNNNNNNNNNNNNNNNNNNNNNNNNNNNNNNNNNNNNNNNNNNNNNNNNNNNNNNNNNNNNNNNNNNNNNNNNNNNNNNNNNNNNNNNNNNNNNNNNNNNNNNNNNNNNNNNNNNNNNNNNNNNNNNNNNNNNNNNNNNNNNNNNNNNNNNNNNNNNNNNNNNNNNNNNNNNNNNNNNNNNNNNNNNNNNNNNNNNNNNNNNAACAGUGGUAGAGAUUAAGUAUUUGCAAGCUUUGCAAUCUCGUAAUGGAGUUAGGAAGCCUUCUGAGUGUUUGCUGUAAGAGAGAUCGAGAUAUGUGAGAUACUUCAACUCACAAAUGGACCUUGGCACCUUCUCGACCUCUAUGGCAUGUAGAUCCAAGAUGCGCAACCUCUUGAAAUUUUGAAUUAAUUGUUGUAGGUCUACUUCACUUGUUAGAUUGCUUCCCCAAUCUCCAAUAGUACACAAAAACGUUCUCAAUACACUUGGUUUCAAGCGUGAGAUUGGAAGUUCACCCAUUAAAUUGAAAGUCGAACCAUAGGAUAUAUGACGAGUUCUUUCAUUUAUUUGAUUUGUGUCAUCCCUUGCCGCCCAACACUUGUUCCCUGCAACCGAGUAGGCUAGAUCAUGCAUCAAAUCAUGCAUCUUGCAAGUUUCCUCAUUUGUGUAUGGAUCUUUUUUAAAAUCUUGGAAGAAGUUACUCCAACAUAGAUCCAUGAAAUAUUCAUGAGCAAUGUCUUCUAAAAGCUCACCUGAAUUUGAUGGCUGGAUAAAUCCUUCUGCCAUCCAAAGAUAGAGUAAAGUAUGCUUCUUUAUCUCAAAAUCUUUGGGAAACAAUGAACAAAAGGCAAAACAUUGUCUCAAAUGUGAAGGAAGUUCGUCAUAACUUAGCCUAAGAAUAGAUAUUAUAUGGUCUUCCCUUUGAGACACUUUUGGGAGCUCAACAUCUUUGAAAUGUAACCAUCCAUCUUUAGUUUCCUUAAAGAAUAAUAACCUCCCAAUAGUUCGAACAAUCAAUGGAACUCUAGAACACUUUCUAACUAUCUCUUUACCAAUAGCUAGCAUGCUAGGAUCUUGUCUGGCCCCUUCUUUUCGACCAGCCAUUCGCAUCAACAAAUCAAGAGAAUCACUUUCAGAUAAGCCCUUAAGAAGAAGAGGCGAAGCAGGGGAGGUGAUCUUUGCAACCAAAGGAAGGCGUGUAGUUAUAAGGAUCUUGCUUCCUCUAGCACCUCCCAUCAAUAAUGAUUUCAAGUUGUGCCAUGUUUCUGAUUUUGCAUCCCAAAAAUCAUCCAAAACUAAGAGAUAUCUCCUUCCAUCAAUUAUUUUCCUCAGUUCAAUUUGCAACCUAUCCAUCACAUUGUAGUUUGGUGGUUCUUUCUUCUCCACACAAACUAUGAUAUCUUUCACUAUUUUUAUCAUGUCAAAGUCAUUAGAAACACAAACCCACAUUUUCAAGUCAAAAUGUUUACUGAUCAUCUCAUCAUUAUACACAAAUUUAGCAAGAGCUGUUUUUCCAAGCCCCCCAAUACCAACUAUUGGAAGGAUAGAAACGUUCUCUUUCACAUCCAUGUCCAGUAAGAAUUUCAUGACAUUCUUUUUAUCAUUACCUCUUCCAAUAAUGUCUUCCUCACCUCCUCUCUCUUCCUCCGCCCUCUCUCUCUUCCUCCCGCCCUCUCGGUCCCUUGCCCAAGUGGAAAGUUCUUUUCAGCCUCAAUAUCUUUCAAUCUCUCCCUCACUUCUCUUAUUUUUCUACUCAUCUUCAGUUCAAAGCAAGCUGGUUUANNNNNNNNNNNNNNNNNNNNNNNNNNNNNNNNNNNNNNNNNNNNNNNNNNNNNNNNNNNNNNNNNNNNNNNNNNNNNNNNNNNNNNNNNNNNNNNNNNNNNNNNNNNNNNNNNNNNNNNNNNNNNNNNNNNNNNNNNNNNNNNNNNNNNNNNNNNNNNNNNNNNNNNNNNNNNNNNNNNNNNNNNNNNNNNNNNNUGGUGACGGUGCUCUCGAGCGCCUGAAGUUCACGCUUGAUGCCCCCUAAAUUUCCAACCUUUCCCAGUGCUUGAGUAAUCAGAUUGGCAAGGACGCUUCCACCAAUGCUGAUGACAGCUUCUGUCAUAUUUGUUCUCUCUAUCUCUCUUUCUCUAUGGGGUUGAGAAGAUUUUAGUCCUGUCGUUCCGAGGCUAGCGUCUUCUUAGAUGAUGUAUAAAAAGUCUGUCCUUGAGAUUAAAUGAGUGUACAAUAAUAGUAGAUAAUAGAAAAUAUUUAACUGACAAGCAGUAAUUCCAAAGCAUCCUAUGUCAUGUAAGAUUCCAUCCCAUCUAAUAAGUAAGGCGAGUUCCUAUUCAUACAUUCUUCUAGAAACAUUAUGUUAGAUUAUCUUAGAUUGAUUAAGUUUUUUUUUCUACCAUACCAUUAAGUAAUAUGUCUAAUUAACAUUAAGGAAAUUGGGAGGUAAUUGAGUGAUGAUGUGGUUCGACCGUUAAGCUCCAUUUUGCUGGACUUUCUUCUUAGUUUGGUUUUAAUAUAUGAUGCGUAAUAAAUUAAAACAAAACAAGGUAAUCACAAUGAUCAUAGGCUUUUUAAAAAAUAAAAUUAAUUUUGUGCUUUCUUAUGUAAAAUUCAAAAUGUUAUUUAAAUAUAAAAAGUCAUUAUUCAAAUUACAUAUUAAUGUUUACGUGUUGUGAAAAUUUCAUAUGUUUAAAGACAAAAUAAUGUAAAAUGUAGACUGAGACAACAUUAGAAGAAACAAAAAUAAAAUGUAAAAAUCUAUCAAGACAAGCCAUGAGCUAAGUUGGUGAUGCUCUUGAAAUCCGCUAGAGGUGUUGGACCAUGUCGUUGUCCUUUGUACUUGUUAUCUUUUCUUUUUUCCUUACUUUUUCUCUUUUUGGGCGAACAGAAAGUGUAAGGUAACAUGAUGUUGAAGCAAAGCCACAAUUUUUCACUUCAUUGGCCGACAAAAUGAGAAUCAGAAUCCACUUACAAGGGCUACACUACAUCCACCACAAUCUGCUCAAGCCCGGAAACCAUCUCAUUGCAGCUUAGAAAGUUAUCAUAGCUGUCUCGACAAGGGCAGCAGCAUAGGGAAUGCCCCGAUGGAUGCCCACUCUCUAGUGUUCAGUGGACAAGAUUAGCUUAUGCUCGGUGAUAAAAUGUUGUACUUUGCAAGACCGUACGUGUCAGAGAACAAGACAAAUGAAGAUAUUGAGUCUUAAGGUCUAGCGUCCCUGUCAAUUUGUGCACAAUCUCUUUUGAACUCUUUACCAAGCCCCUUUUCUUAUUAGUGUUGAACUCAAGUUCUUCUAAAUCACAUCCAACAAGUAAGAUAAAUGUGUUCCAAUAUAUGACCUAUUCCACACGAAGAAAAAGUACAUAAAAUGGCGAUCAUUUUGAAUCAGGUCCAAAUUUAUGAGUAAUAGCACGAGUCUUAACAUGAUCCUAAAUAUUUCACGAAACAUUUGGCAAGAUGCUUGAGAUCUUUAAUAAGGAUAGCAGGUGUUGCACGUUCUUAUUCACUUAUAAUCACAAUUAGUUGUUGUAUUUGGUCACUUCCCCUUCCAUGUUAGUUGCAUGUUCAUAAUUUCUAUGGAUGCCGAUUCAAUUAUAUUUAAUUCCAUUUCUUUCUAACCGCCCCUUGCUCUGCCAGGAUUUUCAAAAGAAAUCAUGUGACUCUUAGUAUGUACGUAGCGAGUAAUUUUUCAUGUGACCAGUAACUUUUUACAAGAUAUUCGACUUCCAAUAUAUAAAUAAAUACUCACCUAUUUACAUUAUUAAUAAUUUUUUACAUAAAAGGUAACCUAUCUACAUUGAUUCUU